rnacentral:lncRNA from 1 species
GGCAAUUUUCCCACCCUGUAACCAAACUCAUCAGCCAACUCAUCCACAUUCUUGACUCUACCAACCGGAAUCAGCUCACUUUUCUCCAAAUUUACUCUUAACCCCGAAAUUGCCUCAAACCACAUUAACAACCAGCCCAUAUACAAUAACUGCUCCUCCUUUGCUUCACAAAAUAUCAGUGUAUCAUCAGCAAACAACAAGUGUGAUAUCUGGACCCCUUCGCCUCUUCUUCCCCGAAUCAAACAAGGCGCCAAAAACCCCCCAUCCACUACCUUUUUUAUCAAAACACUGAAAGCCUCCAUCACCACUACAAAAAGGUACGGCGACAAAGGGUCUCCUUGCCUUAACCCCCUUGAACUUUGGAAAAAACCCGUAGGACUUCCAUUCACCAUAACUGAGUACCUAACAGUGGAUAGACACCACUUUAUCCACCUGCACCAUCUUUCCCCAAACCCCAUCUUCUCCAUCACUGCUAAAAGAAAAUCCCAAUCCACAUGAUCAUAGGCUUUCUCAAUGUCUAAUUUACAGAGAAUCGCCCCUCUAUUGCUUUUCACAAUGGAGUCAAUUGCCUCAUUAGCGACCAGCACUGCAUCCAUAAUCUGCCGUCCCUCCACGAAAGCAUUUUGGGCCGUUGAGAUGACCUUGGCUAAAACACCCUUCAUUCUAUUAGCCAACGUCUUAGCUAGCCACUUAUAUAACCCUCCCACCAAGCUAAUUGGCCUAUAAUCCUUCAAAUCUUCUGCCCCCCCUUUCUUUGGAAUCAAGACUAGGAACGUUGCAUUCAAACUUCUUACAAAGCUCCCGGUCUCAUGGAAUUGCCUAAAGAAGUUCAUGACCUCUUCUUUAACAAAUUCCCACGAAAAUUGCCAAAAAGCCAUUGAAAAACCGUCAGGGCCUGGCGCUUUCUCACCACAACAGCUUGACAAAGCCCUAAAAACCUCCUCCUCCGUGAAAGGCUUCUCCAGCCCCUCCACAUCCCCCUCUUCCAACCUUUCAAACGUCAAAGCGUCUAUCCUGGGCUUCCACCCCCCCGGGUCUGCCAGCAGCCCCUGGUACGCCCUGCACACCGCCUCUUUGAUCUCCCUUUCCUCAUUGUACCAUCUCCCGUUCACUUUGACUCUAUUCAUCUGAUUCCUUCUUCUAUGAGCAUUAGCCAUCUGAUGAAAAAACCUAGUGUUUCUAUCCCCCUCUUUCAGCCAAAUUUCCCUGGACUUCUGCCUCCAUGACGUUUCUUCUAAAAGGACCCACUUCUUAUACAUCUCUCUUGCCUCCUUCCUAGCUUCUUCCUCUUCCAAGGACAAUUCGCGGACCCUCUCUUCCUUGUCCCAGAAAUCCAAAGAAUUCCAAGCCUCUUGCUUCUUAACCUUAAUCUGUCCGAACACCUCUGUGUUCCAUUUUUUCAGAGUCGGCUUUAAAGCCUUUAAUUUCUCGCUCAAGAUGUAACUGGCUGUCCCACUAAUCUGAAUCUCCUCCCACCAUCUCCUCAGCACCUCUUUGAAGCCUUCCUCCUUCAGCCACAUGUUCUCGAAUCUGAAAGGUGUGGGCCCUCUCGUCAUCCCCCCUCCAUCAAGAAUAAUUGGAGAAUGAUCUGAUACUGGUCUAGCCAAAACACCUUGAAUACACUCCCGGAAAUGAGCUUCCCAAUCUUCAGAGAUAAGAAACCGGUCGAUUCUCGAUUUUAAGAGAUUAUUAAAACCUCCACUCCACGUGAACAUCCCCCCCUGAAGGGGUAAAUCCCUUAACUCUAACUCCUCUAUCACUUCUGUAAACCUCCUCAUUGAUGGGGACAAGCGACCUCCUCGGCUCCGUUCAGUAGGAAAUCUUAUCAUGUUGAAGUCGCCAGCAACACACCACGGAUCGUUCCACAGCCCUUUGAUGGCCCCCAAUUCGCUCAGAAACUCCUCUUUCUCCACCUUCACAGAGGGUCCGUAAACUCCUGAAAAAACCCAGCAAAAACCAUCCUCAACAUUCUUGAACCGGCAGGAAAUUGAAUAAUUGCCCACCUCCAUUUCCUCCAGCUGCAGCACCCUAUUGUCCCAGAACACCACCACCCCCCCCGCCGCACCCCUUGAAUUUAAAGCCCCCCAUUCCAGACAUCUUCCUACCCCUAAACUCCUCACAAUUGCACUCGUCAUCUCCUGUAAUUUUGUUUCCUGGAGACACACUAAAUCUGCUUUCUGGGUUUUAAUCACAUCUUUAAUCAAUUUCCUCUUUUCUCUGUCAUUUGCCCCCCUUACAUUCCAUGACACAAUUCGAAUCCUCAUGUAACACACUCUUGAUGCUCCCUGUCCCCUCCUGACCCACUAUAAUUCACCGACCAUUCUAGUUUCUUCAACUCGCGGUCAAAUCUUGAGGUUCUCUGUCCUUUCCUCUUUUUUCCGCUUAGAUUCUCACUUCUAUCUCUUCUAUCCCUCAUCUUAUGGAGAAGUUUCAGAAUUUCCCUCUCACAGCCCUCUGUUGGCAUCCCCAAACAAUGGCAAAACUUUGCCAAACAGCUGUAACUCCACGAUUCCAUAUUCUUUUCCGCUUCCUCGCCCCAUUCCUUCCUUCCAUCUAUUUGCGGGAAAAACCCGCUCGUACUCCUCUCUACCAUUCUCUCUUCUGCCUGACGCAUGCUUAGAGGGCUGAUACUUAACCCCUCUUCGGCUUCCUUCAGAACGACCUCACAGCCACAUCUCUCCUCCAUCUCAAGCAAAGAGCCCCCCAACCCAGAGAAAGGAGAAGAAGAAGAAGAGGCCCGACCCCCCCACACGCAAACAGUCGAAGAUUUUAAGAGGGAAUACCUGGAGGCUUCCUCCAAGAAGCAUUCGUCCGUUAUUGAGCAACGCUCAGGUGUCCCUAUCGCCGCUGCUGGCCCCAUCCCACCGAUCAGACUGUCUUCAGCGAAAAAUUCCUCAGCUGGCUCAAGGCACGACGAAGCCCUAGCAUUUACGCUGAGCUCAUCCCAGGGGGAUUUAUAAGCAGACGGGGCCCAAACUGAAGCUAGGAUGGGCUGCCCCUCUCCUCCUGCCACUCUGGAUCUGUGUUCCAACCGGCCCAGCCUAUCCUUUUGAAAAGAAGAUGGACCAUCAUCUUGCCCAUCCUUCUCUACCACUUUGGGCCUAUUGUCCAAAAGACCCAGCCCAUCCCGUUGUAAUAAAGGGAUAUCCACCCUUGAAGCCCACUUCUCACCCCUAUUGUCCAUCUGGCCCAAAAACUUUUUUUUUACACUUAAAGGACCUUCAUGAGCAGCCCAUUCCCCACCUCUGCUUGACUGGCCCUUUUCCCAACGAGCCCUUGACCCAUUUAUAACCUUUUGAUUUUCUACCCACACCUCAGUACUCUCAUGCUCCAGCCUUUGACAAUUACUGGGUUGGGUCACUUCGCACCCACACUUGCAGCUAUCAAGCCCUUCCACACCGUCUUUUUCACUUGAGCCCACCUCUCCUUCCUUCUUGCUAUAUCCUGCCAACCCUUCAACUGAAACUCCUAUCUUGUCACCAUCACACUUUUCUUUUCCCUUUCUUUUUCUGACUGCACCUGAUCCAUCAGCUCCAGCUGCACGCCAUCCUUCCUUUUCCUUCCCACCGCUGUUCCCGGCGCGUGACUGCUCAUCCCCUUUUUCCCUCAUCCUUUCUCCCUCUUUCCUUCUCAGAUUCAUCAUCGGCUCCACUGCAGAAACUCUAGGCUGCACCUCCCACCACAGGCGGACUGCAUAGCAGAAGGACUUCACCACUAGAUUCAAAGUUCCUGGAAAAAAAUUUCCGUUAUUCUUUACCAAAAUCCUGGCCCAUUGAAGUUGAGAAAGAUUCUUUGUAGCUUCAUCCACCCCCACCAAACCUCCACAGCAAUCACCAAUACUUUUAAACAUUUCUUCACUCCAGCAGUGUAGUGGGAGGCCCACCACCCUUACCCAUACUUCUUUUGUUUGAUUUCCAUCCCGUAAACACCCAGCCUCCUCAUUCCAUCUCUCUAAAUGCAGCAGCCUAUCCUUAAAUCUACGCGUCCCCCUGUUUAAUACCCUCUCUGCUUCCCCUUCAUCUUCAAAUUCCAACAAGAAGAAAGGUUCUCCCAUCUUCAUCACCUUAACACCUUUCCUAAGAUUCCAGCUGCGUUUCCCCCAGUUUUUAAGCGAAUCUAACUCCAUCUCCAUCACUGCCCCUUCCCACCUACCAACUAGGCAACGCCCCAAAACUUCCUCCCUUCUCCUCAAUCCCCUGCCUCCUACCUGGAGCCACAACUCUUCGCCUACCCUUCCAGCCGGUCCUUUAGCCACAUCUAGGAAGCUUCUUAUCUCCCCCUGCUUCUUCUUCCCACUGCACCUUUCUUCCUCAUCAUCUAUUGUUGCAUCCUUCUUUUUUGAACUGAUUUGAGUUGCUUCUACACCUUUGUCAUCCUUUUUGGUUACUAUCCCCAAUGCCCUUAGCUUCACGGCUAGAAUGGCCCAACCUCCUAUCACGCCCUUUCCUUCAGGAAAGACUAAACAGAAUCUUUUAGCCUCUACGUCCACAACAGAGCAUAAGACGUAUCUUCCUGCCCCGUUUACACGCCUCUCCAGCCGGAACUUUCUUCCCUCUUCCUCCCAGACUUUAACCAAUCUUCCUUUCUUUUCCUCCCUACAGCAUUCUUCAAAGCAUUCCAGUAGCUUCCUCAAGCCUGAUGCCCCAAACCUAAUCCAAGAGGAAAAGCCUCUACUCCUUUCCACAAUGAUACCUUUUAGUUUCCCUUUGAUUUCCUCUAUAGACACUUCAAACGUCUUCGAUUCAAUCGCUACCCAAAACUUUGCCAUAACUAGACUCGAACACUAUCCAAGACUUCAAUCUUUCCAUGCUAGGCUAUCCUCUCCAUCCCCGGCCUUAGUCUCAUCCACAAGUAGAACUGACAUACAUUUUGCUAUUGGCAAACAGAGGAAGCCUCUACGUUGUGUAUACCUUUUCUUUUAAUACAAUUGCCUUUAUCUUUCAAAAAAGCAUGUAGUGGGUCUAAUUCUAGUAUUAGGCCAUUUUUUUAACCUAAAUUAGCUUGACAUUGAAAUUGCAAGAAAGCCUUAAAGUCCACUCAAAACAAACUUAUCAAUAGACAAUGGUGUCUAUUGGUUGAGAGCUGGUAUGUAUACUUUUCUACCACUCAACAGCAUAAUUCUAAUAACAUCUAAGCCAUAAAUAAUAACAAUAAUAAAGGACAUAUCAUUAAAUAUUUGAAUACCUUCCUCAACAGUGAGUUCAAGUCUUGAGGAUGGGAUUUUGCAAUAUCCCCAAUCUGUCGAGCCGCUGUGAGCCUUGUAGCUUGGGUCGAACCAGCUUAGUUUGGGUUAAAGAAACAUAAAAUGCUAUUGAACCCAUCAACAAAUACACUGAAAAAAAAAAUUAAUCCAACAAAAAACAAAAAGGAUACUGUCCAACAGAGUGAGAAGCCGAUGAAGCCGAGAUGACUGGUGAGACAUAUCGCCUUCUUCAAAUAUAAAUUAUAACAAUAGCAAUUAUCAGCAGCAGCUUCUCUCAUUCGAAACUGAACACUCUUAUUCUUCUGAUAUCCUACAGUGAUAAAUAGUCAAAACCAAUCCAAAUUUCCAGCCCAACAAACACAAAAUAGUAAAAGAAACUCAUAUUUUUCAGCUAUCCAAGGAAAUUGGAUAAAAGAAUGCUAUUUAAUGGACAGCUAUCAAAGAUGAAUGACAAUAAUAGUAAUUAUCGGCUCAGCUUCUCUCAUUCGACAUUGAACACUUCUAAUCUUCCAAACUCAUUACGAGAUAAACGGUCAAAAUCGAAUUAAAGUUUUCACAUUUAUAGUCCGACAAACACGAAACAGUGGGAGAAUCUCAUAAAUUGUGGUUUCUUUAUAGAAAAAGAUGUGUUGCGGCCACAGAUAUCUCUGAAACUUCCCCAACAAAGCCUUUCAUUUUGAAUUUUCUUCCUCUUAAAAUGGUGAUAAUGAAAGCGAGAAAUUGCCAAGUGCUUCGGAUUAAAUGAUGAAGAAGAUGAUGAUGGAGCGGAAGGAGAUGAUGAUGAUGAUUAUGAGAGUUCCAUGCAGUUACCAAGGGGAAGAAGAGCUUACCAGAUUCGGAAGGCUCGUGGGGAUCCUAAAGAAAAAUUUCUUCUUCUUUGUCCUUCGUCUUCUUCGGCAAUUAGGGUUUGCUUCGCUCUGUCUGGGCUUCCAUCGCGAAACAGAGAUUGCCUUUUUGUCCUUGGUUUUGCUGUGGAUCCUCUGCGGUGAUUUGCAUGAGGUCUUACCAUGGGCUGAUUGGUGGGCCCCUUGCGUGCAUAUAUCCAGCAAGAACUAAUUAGAACCCGUUGGGUCUUGAGAACAGUUUUCGAUUCUAAAGCCCAAUCUGAGGCUUCGAGCGGGCUUAGGUAGACUUUUGGGCCGGAAAGACGGAUCGGGCAAGCCCAUUUUCUAAUGCCCAAGGCCCAGCCAUAGAGUUGCAAGCUUUAGCUUUGGGCCAAUUUAAUUUUUUAAAUUUAAAUAUUACUUAAUAAAUUAUGAUUUUAUAAUUACAACACAAGUUUUUAAUAAAUUAUUGUAUCGAAAAUUAUAAUUUUAUAGUUUGUGAAUAUAUUUCUAAGCUUGAAUAAGUUGUUAAUCGGAAUUUAUUGCUUUGAAUUUUUUUAAAUACUUUAGAAAUUAUUAUGGUUUCUCACUUUUUCAUAUGUCUCUAAUAAUUAUUAAACUAUAUAUAAUAAAAUUAAAUUGCAAAUCAUAUAUAUUUGUAUAUCAUUAUUAUUAUUCUAUGUUGCAUUGUUUCCAUAUCUAUUCACAAUUCUCUUUUCUCCUCAAUGUGUUGAGUUUUUAUCAUUACAUUCUUUCAACUAAAAGAAACAUUAGAAGUUGAUCUAUCUUUUGACAAAAUUUUAGUAAGGAAGUUUAUAUUUAGAGGAAAUUGAUAGAUAUUAAGAGUCAUGUAUAGAAUAAAUAGGAUGGUAACAUAUUUAAAACUAUAUACUAAAAUCAUAUCUGCGAAGUAUGAUGAAUUUCACCAUAAUCUUUUGAAUUAUGGUAAGCCUCAUUUGACAACGAUCUUAAUAGCUAAACCAAAACUUUAAGGAAACAUACCCUAAUAAAUAUUAGAUCUACUUAGCUAAUGAAUUUAUUAUAUAAAUUUGAGAAAAAGUUAAUAUUGUAUCAUUAAAACAUUUAAAAAAAUCCCUUAAUAGUGUAAUAUUUAAUCUAUCGUUAUCGGUAUUUGGUUCAAACCAAGAUCAAGAAUCAUUUUCUUGCAAAAUAAUGUAAUACAAUUGUGUUACCUUUUGGUAAGUUGUGUUAAUAUUUAGCAUUCUAUUUAUUGUAUGGCAUUUGGUUGUAACAUCACUAGGAAAAAUCUAUUUGGCAGUGAUUUUAGGAAGUAUUUUGAAACUAAAAAGUAUUUUUGAAAAAAAUUAGAUAUUUAAAAAAGUUUACGAAACAUUUUUAAAAUUUUGAAAAAUCACUUAUAGUGUUUUAUGAAAAAUAUUUUUUGAAAAAACAUUUUUAAAACACUCCCAAAUGCACUUGAAGUCUUCUACAAAAUAAAUGAAUAAUUUUGCAAGUUCUUUUAAAUAAUGAAGUUUUAGUAGCAAAAGAACAAACACAAUAUAUAUAUAUAUAUAUAUAUAUAUAUAUAUAUAUAUAUAUAUAUAUAUAUAUAUAUAAAGCGUUUUUCAAUCUUUCAAUAUAAUUUUCUAUAAAUUAUAAAUAAUUUUGAACAAUUAAAUUUAAGAUAUGUGCAUUUCAAGGUAAUUCUAAACAACCUUGAACGAAUAAAACAAUAAUUUUCUUAUAUUAUGCGUUAUCCAAAGAAAUAGAAAAAACCUAUGAAAGUCAAACUGUAAUUUCAUUUGUGAUACUUUCCCAAUAAAAGUAUCAAAAUAUGGUAAUUUUGUUGUUUGAAAAAGAAAUUAAUCUUUUUUUUUUUUUUACAAUUCCUUCAAAACUUUGAAAAAAAAAUGAAUAAAUUUUGUUUUAUUUUUAAAAUUAUCAUUAUGACUUGUGAUUCUUAAAAAUGCAUGAAUUUGUGAUUACAAAUUGCUUUGUAUAAAUCUUCUACUCUUAGGUUUUCAAAUGCGAUGAAAUCAACAAAUUCUUUAUGCAUAUGAGUGGCAUCAUAUUAAAAAUAGAAAAGUAAUGAUAUUUCAUACCAAAUAGGAAAAAAAAAAAAAAACCAUUCUUAAUACUAUAUAAUUAUGUUCCUCUUAAUUAUGUACAUGUGUUUUAAAACUGUGAAACCCCUUUGAGCCUAAGGUGAAUAUCUACAUGGUUAGUAGUAGGUCGUUACAAAUGGUAUUAAAGUCAAUCCUUAAUUUUGAUAUCAGAAUUUGUUUGGCUUUAUAAGAGAUUUGUUUGUUUCGCUUAGCAAUUCUAUGAGAUACAAUAAAGUAUGUGAUUGAGUUAUGAAUUGUCUCUCAUAUAACAUGUCUCAUCAAAUGUUGGUCUAGAUAAAUAAUUCUUGCCUUUUGAGUCAACGACAAGCUUCAAUAGACAAAUCUUGUACUUUAAUUUUACUACAAUCAUAUCAUCGAUAAUUUUAUAUACUUUCUCAAAAUUUUCCCACAUAGUAUAAAGUUGUUUCUUUAAACCCAAUGCCAUUGAUGAAACACUAAGUUGAUAAGUAGAAACACUUCACCCAUUUUAUUUUUUUGAAUUGAAAAUAAUACAAAAUUUGUGGAGGAGAAAAAUUAUGAAAAAAACAUUAUAAAUAUGUAAAAAUAAGUGAAUAAAUCUAAACAAAUAAUUAAACUAUUAAAAAUAAUAAAAUAUUUUUAUAAAUAAAUUAAACAAAAAAAUGAUAUUAGUAACAAAUAACAAUUAAUCAAAUUUGCACACAAAAAAACGAAUGGUUUUUCCAUAAGCAUAUUCUAAAUUUUGGUUUGGAAAACUUUGUGGUUUUAGAGAUCAAAAGUUAUCUACAAUAACCUUAUGUUCUUCAAAAAGGUUUUGAGAAUAUAAAGAGUUAAACCUCAAAUUUGGAUUUAACACUUCGUUAAGACAUAUGGUUCCAAAUUGAAAGGUUCUAGCUUUAGUGGGUUUUCGUUAAGCCAUGUUCUUGUAAAAUAAAAAAAAUAAAAAAAAAUAAAUUGCAAGUGAAAUGAGAAUAGAAACUUAAUAGAAAUUUCUUUCUUUUUUUAUUACUGAAUGUAGAAAUUUACAAGCGGAAUAUACAAUUGACACUGUGGUUGCUCUCUGAUCACUUACUUCUAACUUUUUUUUUCCUCGCUUUACAACUUAUUUAUAGAUAGAACAUUUACAAUAUGACAAAUACUAAAUUUAAUUAGGGUUGUUGGUAGUUAGAUGACAGACAAAAAUAUUUACAAAGUCUUCAGAGGUUUGGUUGACAAUAAUACAGAGAUGGUAAAAACUUAUGAGAUUUGACUUUUUCAUCCGUCUGAUCACUUCUUCUAAACUUUUCCCAUCAACAUCCAUAAUUAGCUAUUCACAAUCAAGGCAAUGGCAGGAACCUUUAAAUUUUUCGUUCAAAAUCAAAGUUUAAAACCAAAACUAGUGUGAAUGCAUUUAUUCUAUUAUUUUAAAAUAAAACUUUCAAAAUACAAUGUGAAACCAUUUAUUACAUAUUAUUAUAAUAUUUAUUUAAAUUAAAACUUUCAGUUUAUAGUGUGAAAACAUUUAUUACAUGAAAGUUAAGUUUUUGAAGAUUGGCUAUUUCAAAAGUUUAAAGAAUAAACUCAAGAUUUUGAAAUAUCACUUCGUGUCAAGGUGAUACCCCCUUUUGAUAAGACAAAGUCUCCCUAACACGCUAAUUUUAUAACAAAAAUGGGUUACAGGUCAAGGGUUAAGACUAAAGAUUAUAGUUUUAAAACCUGAUUUUACACAAAAAACUUUCAAAAUAAACUGAUCAAUUUUUUUUUUUUUUUUUUUAUUUUGAUGGACACAUUAUAUAUAAAGGAUCUAUAUAUAUUACAGAUAUUAACUAGUAAAAAAAGACUAACUGGAAUAUGAUUCAAAUAAUUUUAAUUUCCCUACUUUACCUUUUUACCCCCUUUACCCCCUAAGGGUAAGAAAAAAGAUACAAAUAAAUUAAAUUGAAAAGGAAAUGAGAAUAUAAAUUUAACAUAAAUUUCUUACUUUUUUAUUGCUGAAUGUAGAAAUUUACAGGCUAAAAAUACAACUGACAAUAUGGUUGCUCUCUAAUCGCUUACUUCUAACUUUUUUUUUCCUCGUUUUACAACUUAUUUAUAGACAAAACAUUUACAAUACGACAAAUACUAAAUUUAAUUGGGAUUGUUGGCCGUUAGAUGACAGGUAAAAAUAUUUACAAAGUCUUCAGAGGUUUGGUUGACAAUAAAUAUAGAGAUGGUAAAGACUUAUGAGAUUUGACUUUUCCAUCCGUCUGGUCACUUCUUCUUUGUUUGUUUCUUCUUUUCAUCACAUGGCUUGGUACGUAGCUUUAUUGAUUUUGAACUUCUAUUGCUGCAUUAAAUCCUUUGUAGUUGGAGACGCAUUUACUAUUUCAAUGUUGUCAUUGCUGACAUCAAUGUUUCAUUGCAUUUUAUAGAUUAUAAUAACUUUCAUCGUCAAGAUUUUCCCAAAAUGAUGCGUCAUCAUUGAGGUAAGAAGAUGGUUCUGGUAUUUCUACACUGAGUUCAAUUAUAAAAUCUUGUUCUUGAGGAGUAAUAAGAGGUUUUGGAACAAUAAUGUGCUCUAAAGGUUUGUUUCUCCAUAUGGACAUGGUUUUUGUUUCUCCAAUGAGAUGAAAUAAUUUAUUUCGGGUUGGUCUAAGAUCAUAAAUUUGAAGGGCUCUAAAACAAGUAAAAAAAAUUGGAAAUUCAUUUGGACAGGUCAUUUCCCAUUCUGGUUCUUGUUGAGGAAUCAAUGGUUCUUUAUUGUAUUUUAUAUAAACAUGGUGAUAGACUGGCACUACUGAUUCAUCGGUUUGAAAUAAAGGUGGAAUGGUUUCAAAAGAAAUGUCUAUCCGUUUUUCAGUUUUGAAGAGAUAGGUUAUAGUAUCUUUUAAUUUUUCUAGGAAAUUUUUAAGGAUUUGAAAUACAUGGUUCAUAAAAAUAUUUUUAAAAAUUCUUUGAUCCAUGAACUGGGAUACUAAACCAAAAAUUUCUUUAUUUACAACAGACAUAUUCACAUAAGCUAAAUAUAUAACAAAGAAAAAUUCAAGGUCAUGAUAUGCCAUAUACCUUGUUUUUAUCCCAACAUUUUUGGUUCUAAAAUGUUUGUACAAAAGUUCUUGAUUUUUAAACACUUUGUUAUAUUGUGUUUUCAGAAAGAAGGUUUCGACUAAAAGGUAAUUAUUAGCUCCAAUUAAGUUUUUAACAAGAAGUUUUUCAUAUUGUUUAGACACAAGAGCUGAUUUCUUAAUUAAACUAAGAAUUUUAGGUUGACUAUUUGAACAACUGGUUUGACUAGUUGACAUUGUACUGGUUUUCAAAUCCUUUAUCAAUCUUUCUUGAUUUUCUUAGAUUUUGAGGUUUUGAAAUUUUUGGGUUUCUAAAGCAAUCAGUUGGUUUUGAAGGUUUUGUAAAUGUUGGGCUAAAGUUGACACGGUUUUUCCAUAAGCAUAUUCUAAAUUUUGGUUUGGAAAAAUUUGUGGUUUUAGAGACCAAAAGUUAUCUAUAACAACCUUAUGUUCUUCAAAAAGGUUUUGAGAAUAUAAAGAGUUAAACCUCAAAUUUGGAUUCAACACUUCAUUUAGACAUAUGGUUCCAAAUUGAAAGGUUCUAGCUUUAGUUGGUUUUCUUUGAGCCAUGUUCCUGUAAAAUAAAAUCAAUCAUUAGCAUUAUCAACAUUGUUAAUUAUUUGUUUACUUAACCAAUCUGCUAAUAUAUUAUCUUUUCCUUUAAUAUGUUCAAAUUUAGGUUUGAAACCAAUUAAAGAGUUUUGAAACUUUAUCCAUCUUUUGGUGGACAAUUUUGAAGAAUUUUUAUUUUCAAAGAAUUUUUUAAUGUUCUCACAAUCAAUUCUUAAAGUAAAUUGUUCUUGGUUUAAAAAUAAUUGAAAUUUUUCUAAAACUAAUAUUAUUGCUUCAAUUUCUAAAUCUGUAGAACUUAGGUUUUUUUGAUAAUCAUUAAAAAUUCCACUACAAUAUCUACAAAGUUUUUCUUCUCCUAUAUUAGUGACUGCAAAAGUAUACCUCCCCAUCUUGUUUGGCUAGCAUCAGUUUGAACUAUUUUGUAUUCACUUUCUAAGGGUAAAUGUAAGGUUGGGAGAUGCUUUACAAGUUCUUUUAUUUUUAGUACAAGUUUAAUAUCUUCUUGGUUAAAAUAUCUCUGUCCUAUGUUUUUUGUUUUACUAUAAAGGGGUCCAACUAAUCUACUAAGGUCUUUAAUAUAUGGUUUAGCAUAACUUAAUAAUCCUAAAAAACUUUGAAGGGUUUGUAAAUCUUUGAGUUUAUCUGGAAUAUUAUUUAUUUUUUUUUGCAUUAUAUGAUCUUGCAGUUUUAUUUGUCCAUCCUCCAAUUCUAAUCCUAAAAAUUAUAUUUGGGUUUUAAAUAAUUUCAAUUUCUUUUUACUUACUAUUAAACCAUGACUAAUUAGUUUUUCAAAAAUAAAUUCUAAAUGCUUUAUAUGUUCCUAAAGAGUAUAUGAAAAAACAAGAAUAUCAUCAAUAUAUACAAGAACAAAAGAGUAUUUACCAAAAAUAUUAUCCAUCAUUCGUUGGAAUAUCUGAGGAGCAUUUUUUAGUCCAAAUGACAUUACAUUCCAUUCAUAUAAUCCACAAGGACAUGAAAACAAUGCCCAUGGUUUGCUAUCUUCUUCUAAUUUAAUUUGCCAAAAGCCACUUUUAUAAUCUAGCUGAGAAAAGUAUUUACAUCCUUGAAUAGAAUUAAUUAAAGAAUCUUUGUUUGGAAUUUUAUAGGGAUCAUCAUAUGUAUUAUCAUUUAAUCUUUUAUAAUUAAUAACCAUUCUAGCUUUUCCUUUUUUUCUUCAUUAUGGUUCCCUACUAAAAAGGUUGAAGAUCUAUGGGGACUGAAACUUGGUCUAAUGAGGUUAUUAUGCAACAGUUCUUCUAUUUGAAUUUUGAAUUCCUUUGUAUUUAUAAGGUUACAUGCUAUAUCUGCCGUUUUUAUUGUUAAGUCUGGGUUUAUAAUUGGUAUUUUACAAGUUGUUUUAUUUUUAUUCCAAUGUUUUUGUGGAUCUUCUCCUAUAAUUCCUAUUUUUUCUACUUCUAAUAUAAAGUUUUUUAAUCUAUCUGCAUUUCUUAAUUGUUUUCAAUAAUCAUUAAUUAUGCUAUCCUUUUGUGCUUCUACUUUGUUAAUUUGAUGAGAGGUUACAUUAUGAUUUUUAUUUGAUGCAUUUUCCAUGUUUGUAUAAACAAUUGUUGUGGUUCUAGGAUGAAAAUUGACUUAGUUAUUUUGUAUUGUUAUCCCUCCUUGUAAAGAAUAUACAAAAUUUAAACCUAAAAUGAAAGGGUAUAAACUUAUAGUAGGUACAAGAUAAGUUUGAGGUAACACUAAGGUUAGAUUGUUAAUUAUGAUUGGUACAUUUGAAAUAUACUUGGUUAAUAUUAGUUUUUGUUGAUUAUAUUAGACUAAUUCUACUAGUUGAACUAAUGUUUGUUGGUCUUCUUGAGGUACUAAGGUUUCAAAUAAAAGGUUUUUACUGGCUCCAGUAUUUAACAUUGUAUCUACUUUUAAUUCUAUGAUUUUUAAUUAAUCGUUGUUGGAAAAAUGAUAGAUUUAACUUUAUUUGCCAUAUUUACUUGUUCUAUUGUUUGUAUAGUUGUUUUUUCAAGAUUUAUUGGUUCUUUUAUUUCUUUUAUAGGACUUAUUGGUUCUUUUAUUUCUUUAUGGUUUGAAUUGCCUUCCUCUUUUUCCGAGAAUUUUCCUUUAAUUAUUAUUUGUAAGUCUUUCCACAUAUUAUAAGGUUUUAUUUUGCUUUCUAAAGGUUGUACAAGGUUUUCUAAAUUUAAAGGGGUUUUCUUAGGUUGAUUUUCCUCUUUUUCAAUGAUCAUACAAAUUUCUUCUAUUUUGGUUUCACUAUCAUCUAUACUAUAUACACUUGAAUUUUCACUUUCAAAAUCUAAUUCACUAAUGAGUUCUUCUUCUUCACUAUCUACCUAAUACUCAUUUAUUAGGUUUAUUUUUACUAGGGUUUUUCUACUUCGUUCACUUAAUGGUUUUUUAAGUUCAGGACAUUCAGGUCUCAUAUGGCCUUCCUGACCACAUAAAUAGCAUUUACAUUGUCUUUUUCUUUCUGUAGUUUUUUUUUCUUUUUAUCAAAAACUUUCCAGGUUUUUUAUAUCUUAUUUGAUAUGGUCGUUUUUUAUAAAAGGUUUUUGACUUUCUUCUUAAAAAUUUAUUACAGUUCUUAGGUUUUCUAAACUUAUAUUCUCUACAUCCUACGUCUAAAUUUUCUCCUAUAUGUAAUUUUCCACAAAGUUGUUGAUUUAUGUCUUGUUUCUUUAUUUAGCUUCUUUCUCCUAUACUUACACAUUCUCUUUCUAACCAAUUUUUUUACAAAUUCUAUUCUAGCACCUAUAUAAGGAGAGUUUUUAUAUUUGGAGGUUUAAAAUUCAUUCCAUAGUCUAAGUCCUACAGGUCCUUGUAUUUUUAAUAUAUAUUUAUUUAAAUAUUCAGGGGUUCUAUAUACUCUAGCAAAGAUUGCAUAUUUUCUAAAUUUUUGUUCAUAUUAUUUUAUAUACAAAAGUUUACAUAAUUUCAAUUGUUUUAACUUAUAAAGGUAUAUUGCGGGUUCUUUUACAUCUUCUUAAGUUGUUCCUAGAAAAUAUAGUUUUAUUAAAUUUAUAAAUACUGAUAUGAUAAAAUUAUUUCUAACUUCUUGAAAAUAACUAUUGUUUUCUUGUUCUAUGUUUCUAAAGAAUUGUAAUAUGGUUCCUCUAAGGGUACUUUUACAAAAUUCAUAAAUUUCUUGUUGGUUUUCAAAGGAUACUACUACACCGGCUGAAUUUAAGGAUUGUUCCCAAUUUUCUAUGGUUUUCCUAAGGUCUUGUGUACCGUUUAUAUCUAAUAUUGUUCCAUAUUCAUAUAUUGGUUAUAAAGAACUAGAAGGUUUUGCUUUAGUUUUCCAUUAAGGUCCCUUUGGCUUACUGUACAACUUACUAUAUCUCAUUAUUUAAGUUUUUACAUUUACAAAUUCUUUUUCUUCAUUUAUUGUAUUUACUGAUUCAUUUGAGACUGUUUCUAAGUUUUCUUUAGCUUUUAGUUGAAUAGUAAAUUGAUUAAUUGUUUCUAUAUCUAUAAGUUUUUUUAUUAAAUUGGUUUUAUAAAGUUGUCCUAUUAUUUGCUCAUCUGUAUAGUUUCUACACAUUAUAUCAACAAAGUUUUCUUGAACUACAUGUUCUUCUAGUAACGUUGGGUUACUAAAUUCUUUUAACAUUAUAUUAACUAGUUUUGAAUUUUUGUAUAGGUUUUCUAUUAUUUCGAUGUUUAUUAAAAUAUCUUCUUGUAUAACAUUUACAGAUUCCAUUUCACUAUCUGACUCUACCUCUACAUUUACGGUUUUAUAGUUUCCAAAUGUUAUACUUGCACUUCCAUCUUGAUUUUCAUAUAAACUACUAGAUAUUAGAUAUUUUAUUACUGGUUUAUUUAUUUGGGGUAAUUCCCACUCUCGUCCUAACAAAUAGUCUAUAUUUACGGGUUUUGCUUCUAUCAUAUUUACAGUCUUACUUCCAAAGGUUUUUACUAUAUCAUCAAAUUCCAUCAUACAUUUUAAGCUUAGAGCAUUAGUGGUUUUUCCUAUAAAUCCUAUAGCUAUGCUAAGGUUCUUAUUUCCUAAUUCCAUAUCAUAACCUUUAGUAUUUAAAGCUAUUUUUUAUUUUUUAUGUGAAUUCCUUAAGAUCUAUAUAAAAUUGAGGUAUACAGCUAAUGACUGCGUAAUUUUGGUUCAUAUUAACUUCUGCAUUAGCUAAAAGAACUCGUCCUACUAUAUUGCUUCUAGUAUCUAAAAGGUUAAUAUUUAUACGUACCCAAUUUCUUUACGAUGAAGUCCUAUUAUUCCUAUUAAAAUGAUCCCUAAAUGCAUAUAUUUAUCGGUUUUAUUUUUUAAUAGUUUAUGUUUUGUUUAUGGAGAUACUAAGUCUAAAUAUACAAUAUUUCCUAUUGAACUUAUAGUAUGUUGGUUUAAAAAUCUAGUUAUUUUAGGAUUUUGAACUAAUCAUUUUUUGUAAAGUGUUACUUCAUUUACUGCAUUUUUUAAUUUUUCUUCAAUAAAUUCUUUUACAUUAUCUUUAGGGUUUAUAGUUUCUACCAUUUUCAUGGUUUUAUUGCUAAACUUUUUGGUUGAAAAGGAUUUAUUUUUCAUUUUGUUCUAAUUAUUGGUUUUUCUCUUAAACUAAAGUUUUCAAAUUGUUUUAAAAGAUGAUUUAAUUUUUGUUCUUCAGAUGAUCUUGUAUUUCUUUGUUCUAAAAGUUUAUCUACCUUUUGGUUAACUUUUUCUAAUGUUUCUUUUAAAUUUUGUUGUUGUAACCUUAUUUCUAUUUCUUUUCUAACAAAUUUUUCUUCUCUAGCUAAUUGUUCUUUAAUAUAAUCUAGGUUAUUUCUUAGCAAAUUAUGGUUCUUAAAGUCUUCUAGCUUCCUUUCUAAUUCCUAAGACCGUAUUUAGUUUUUCUAAGGAUUUUCUGUCUUUUCUGGAUUUCUUCUAAACAAUUGAUAUUAUUUUGGUUUUCUUCCUGAAUUUGUUUCUUAUGUUCUUGUAAUACUACGUUUGUUAUUUUUAAUUGCGUUUCUACUAGAAAUUUUUAACUGUUUUACCUCUUGGGUUUGCAGAGGAGGGUUCAUUAGUUUUUAAUAUUUUCUAAUUAGAUGAACUAGCAUAUAAAUUAUCAAUAUAAUAUUUUAUAAUUUCUCUUUUAAUUAGGGUUUUUGUAGCAAAAAGUUCGUCAAAGGCUUCUUGUAUAGCUAUUUCGUAUUCGUUUAAAUAUUUAAGAGAAGUUAGGUUUUUGAUAUCUGUGGUUAAAUCUUUUACAGUGUCCUUAAAUUAUGUAAUUUAUUACAAGUUUCUCUAAAUUCUUUCCAUUGAGCGUACAAUCUAUUAUUAAGUUCUUUUACACAAUCAUAAUCUAAAUUAUAUAUAUCAGGAGGAUAAGGAAUAAAAGACAUCAAUUCAUAUCAAACUAAAUGAACAUGCAAACUAAAUAAACAUAUAAAGCAAAUAUAAUCAGACUUUUAAUGGGGUAAGAUAAAGUUCGGUACUCUAAAAAUUAAUUUGAAUCAACGGUCACUUUUCCUAAGUAAUAUACUAACAAUAUACAUAAAGUUCUGAUACCAACUUUUCCCAACAACAUCCAUAAUUAGUUAUUCACAGUCAAGGCAAUGGUAGGAACCUUGAAAUAUUUCGUUCAAAAUCAAAGUUUAAAACCAAAACCAGUGUGAAUGCAUUUAUGUCCAUAUGUAUAAUAUAAAAUCCAAUAGUAUUGACAUUUUAACUUCACUUAAACCUUAAAAAUGAUAGUUAUCAAAUGCAAAAUAUUAAUAAUUGUAAAUUUAAUGUUUACAAAAUAUAUAAAAUUGAGAUAUAAACUUAGUCCAACUUAAAUUGCUAUUUCCAUUUUUUAAAAAGUAAACAUGAUACAAAUAUAAAAGAUUUUUCAAAUCAAUAGGAUUUGUAUACACAAAUUGUUUAAUAAAUUUAUAUUUAAUAGAAAAGAAUGUAUAUAUAGAUUGUUUGAUAAAUUUAUAUUUAAAAGAAAAGGAAUAUGAGUACCAUUCUCUACAAUAUUUUUUAUAUUGUUCUUUAGAAUAUAGAAUAUAUAAGCCUCUUAAUUCUAUCUUCCAAGUUAAAGAUGUUGCUUGAUUGAGUGUUGGAACACAACAAAAAUUCUAGACAACUCUAUUAUCUUUUUCUUGUUUUCCACAUAUAGUUUUUCUAUUUUUUUUCCUCAAAUAAUUUUUCUAUUUAUAUUCAUGAAAUUAUAGGUAAAUAUAGAUUGAUUUUAAAUUCAAAUCUCUAUAAAUGGAAUUAUGAAUAAGGAUAUAUUGAUUUUAAAUUCAAAUAGUUGUUGAAGGUGUUGCUUGCUUUUGAAUGACUUUUGAAAUUCUACAUAAGACUAUCUUAUUUUUUUCUUUUCUUUCUUAAAUGAUUUGUGUUGUAAAUGCAAAUUGAAUGUCACCACUUAAAGUCACCUUGUAUUAAAACUUAAAUUAAAACUACAUAAUUACAAGUCUUCCAUUAUUAUAAGAAACCUCCUCUCUACUCCCACAACUCCUCUUUUUCCCUUUCCCAAAUCUUCAUUUUUUUAUUUUCUUUUUUGCCCAAGCCCCCCUUCUCUCUCUAACCUUGCUGCCCAAUACACCUGCCUCUUUAACUAACUAUCUAACCAAAAAAAAGAUAAGAAAUUACCCUCCACCCCUCUGCAGAAUCCAUUCUGCACACUUUGUUUGUCACAUCCAAAACCACAUUUUCCACAGAAAAUCCUCUAUGCAAAGUCCUUGUCUCCCACUCUUUUCUGCCAACUCACCCCUUAAAAAUCUAAAUUGUGUUUCCUCAAAGUGUUGAAAAAGAUACUUCCCUAAAAAAAUGCUAUCUCCUUCCAAUUGCAGAAAAAAAAGUCCCAAGAAAGUCGUUCUAAAAAAUGGGGGUCUACAAAAACUAUAAAAGAAAUGGAGUCAUAUAAGUGGUGGAUAAAGUGAAAGAGAAGUAAGAAGAGAAAGUGAGAUAUUGAGAUGGGAGAAAAAUAAGUCGAAGAAGAUGAACCUACCUGUUGAGACAAAGAAGAGGCUUCAAUACCCCAAUCUUCAAGCCGUCGGAGGUACAAGGAAUUAAUGUUAGGUUUCUCUCUCGUUUUCUUUCUCUAUUCUGUUUUCUCUUUCAAUUUGGGGUAAAAUGAUGGUUUUUCUUCAAUUUAUUUAUUUUUAGAUUGUCUACUAGGACAACAAGGGAAAAGAUAUAUGGUGACAUUUAUAACGAGUCACUAUAAACAUACGGUGUUGCCAUAAUAUAACAUCACCUUAUCCACUAACGCCAUAGAGGGUACCAAUUAAUGACAUAUUUGGAAGUGACACCAAAGUAAAUAAAUGGUGGCAUAUUUGGAAGUAACACCAAUAACUGUAUGAGAUAUAUAAGGUAUCACAUUAAAUGCAUCACCUUUGAGUUAUAGUGUUAGAUUAAAUGCAUCACCUUUGAGUUAUGAUGUCACAUCAUUAUAGAUGAUUGUGGAAGAUAUGGUUGGUUAAUGCUUAUAAAUUAACAAAUAAGAUUAACUUGCAUAUAUUUUGUCCAUAAGUAUAAAAAUCAUAUUAUUUUGUAUCAUCCAAUAAUAUGUGUAUAUCAAAUCUUCACAAAAAUAUAAUGCAUCAAACACAUUAAACCCACCAAAAGUAAAAAAAAAAAAAAAGUAAAGUAAAUACACAAUAAAACAUGAUUUAUAAAUGUUAAGCAUACCAACAUUCAUGUAUACCUGCAUUUCAUAUGCAUAAAACCAACUAAUCAUAAAAUGAAACAAAAGUCACAUUCAAAAACUCAAAAUUCUCACUACCAAUUAAAGUAACAUUUAUGUCCUAUAGUGUAUGACAUAAGAAUCAUAUCUACCAACUAAUCAUAUUGUUUUUGAAUUCACUGGUACAGUUAAAACAAAUAUUUCAGGAAUUGUGUUGUUUACCCAAAAGGGUUUGGUUGAUCUUAUAAAAAAACUAAGGUAAUGUGAUGUUAACGCUUAUUGUAAUUGUUGUUUUUGAACUCAUUAGAGAUAUAACAUGUUUUCUUAGAUUUUGGAUUCCUGAAAUUUGCUUUUAUUGUUCAUAUGUAAUUUAAGGAUUUUUUUUUUUGUUUUCUAAUGUAAUUUAGGGAUUUUGAAAUUUUUUGUUGUUGUUUGAAUGGAGUUUAGGAACUAUUUUCCUUUUGUUGAUUCUUACUUUUGUUUUUUUGCUUAUUUUGGAAUUGAUAAGGUAUUGCAUGUUAUCUUGGAUUUUAGAUUCUUGAAAUUUUCUUUUGUUGUUUGGAAUUUUUAUUUUUUGGAAGAUCCUUAAAUUGUUUCUUUUGUAUUUAUUUUUCCAUGGACUAUUUUAAACCGAGGAAAUGAAUGAGUUUUGAAGUUAACUGAUAUAUACAUGUCUUUCUUGAAUUUGUUUUGCAAAUCUGGCAACUUACAAUGCUUGAUUAACAUGUUUACAUUGCAAAAGAAAAUAUUUAAAAUAAAUUUCUUUUUAAAAAAAAUAUGGACUAUAUAAUAAAUAUGGUACAUUUUGAAGGUGCACUACUUAAAAAAUAUGGAUGAAUUAAAAACCUUAAAAAAGUGGAUUUAAUAGAAAGUAUAUUUUGAGGAAAAUAAUCCCCAAAUCAUGCAUUAAAAUUGUAACUUCAUACAUGCUUCCAAAACUAUCCUUUAACCUUAAAGGGGGACUGUCACCCAAUAAAGCAAAACUAUAAAAGAGAUGUUCUCACAUUUUAUCGUGCUACAUGGUGCCCUUCUUUCUUUCCUAUUUUAUUUCUUUCCUACUUUGAGCUAUUCAUUAUGUUUUUUUUUCAGCUCAAUAUGGGCAACAACUUUUAAGGUAGUUGUGAACUAAUUUAUGAGUUAAGAGAGAAAGCAUGGGUUGAUUUUUAGAGCACCAUUAUAGGGUUCAAGAGUGUUGAAGGUGAAGUUCAUUGCGAGUGAUUUACUUUAACUUUGCUUGUGGAGAUUCAUAUUUCAACCAUUGUGGAAGGUUUUGUCAUACACUUUCUUCUUCUUCUUUUAAUUUGUGAAAUAAAGGUUUUCAUCUCAAGUAUUGGUAUAUUUCCACUAGUUUCCAUUGUUAAAGAAACUAGUGAGGGGUUGUAUUUCCGUUUUGGUUGAAAUAGAAGAAGUUUUCUCCAUUGUUUUUUCCCCUCAUUUAUAAGAGUUCUUCCAUGUUACAUGUAGUGUCCGUAGACAUAAAAUUUUUAGUGGAUUAAAUUAUCACUAGUUUUCAAAAUAAAUUAGUAAAUAAAUAAAUAUCCUUUUACGGAUAGGUUUCCUAUGAAAAAGGAAACUAAUCUCCAAGGAUAAUAAUAAUAAUAAGAAAAAUAUAUCAUUAUAAUCAUUAUCUUGUUGGUAAAACCUCUGGAAGAAGAGAAGUUACUAAAAUCAAGGAACUAAAUCAUUUGAAUUAAGUAACCAAAAUUUGAAAAUUUGAAAUUCAAAUUCUCUACCUUCACUUAAAAACAGAGGUGACUUCUUUCAAGAAAAAAGGAGGAGAAAUUCAGGAAUCAGAAAAAUUCAGAAAGGAAAAUCCGAAGGCAACUUCGUACGGGAAAGAGAUUUCACAACAAAAGAAAAAACUUCAUCAAAUCUCUCUGCAAGUUUGAUAAACGAUAAAAGGACUACACACGUGUUCUUCACCAUUCAACAAGUUCAUUCGAAAAAAGUCAUUUCGGCCCUUGAUAGAUCUUCAAAUUAAAGGAAACAAGUUUGUCAUUGUUCUUCAAGUUAUGGUCGAAACGAAGGAAUAAGAGAGAAAAUAUUAUUUUAUAAAAAAAUAUUAUAUUUGAGAUUGUACCCCACAAUAUUUUAAUUUCAAUAAAUAUGUUGUUCGUAUUAUUUUUCCUAUUGUUUUACUAGUUUCACAGGACUUACGAAAUUUGUGUGUAUAAUGUCAUUUUGUUGAUAUAUCUUUGGUUUAUUAUUAUUGUUUUGGUUGUAUUAUUGUUGUGGUUGUAGUAGAGCAAAUUGGAUUGGUACAAGUGAAAAAUUAGUUAUUAUGCCCAUACAGUUCUCGUCCUCCAUAUCUCCCACAUAUCUUCCUUAUCCCCCAUUGAAGUUAGUAAUCCUUCAUUGAUGCUAAAUAUCCUUCAUCUCAUUGUGAUAUCUUUGAUUGUUAUUAUUGUAUCCCUUAAGCCCCAACAAGAAAGUGGUCUUACUCUUAUCGUAAUUAAAAAUUAUAUUUUUGAAUUCUCACUUUUCAAAAUGCUUUUGGAAGUAGUCAUACAUUAGUAAAAAAAAUUAUAUUUUCAAACUCUUAUUUUCAAGUGGUAUCAUAUCAAUAAAAAGAAAAAAAAAUUACCUACAAAUAAUAAAUUUUUAUCUCUUUAUAUAUAUAUAUAUAUUUGAAAGUGGUCUUACUCUUAUAUAAUUAGAAAAGAUUUUUGAAUUUUUACCUUUUGAAAAUGAUAUUUGUUAGGAAAUUAUUAAAGUAGGCCCAUAUGUGUUGAUUAAUUGCAAAUUAUUAGUUGCCUUUUUUUCGAUUAGCUCAUUAAAGUGAUUAGAUAAGUUUAUAUUUAUUUAUUAGUUUUGGGGAUGUCAUUAAGUGUGGUGUGGGUUUUAAUGUGUAGACACCAUUUGAUUUGAUUUUAUUUUUUUAUGAUGGACUAAAAAUAAAAUAAAAUAAAUAAGUUGAAUCCCUAGUCUAAAUAGAUUAGAGAUUCUUCUCAUAUCCCAUCGUUGAGUGAAAUAAGGUUUUUCUCUUUAGAGAAGAAACGUUUAGAUCUCACUCCACUUUUUCAUAUUUCACUAGUUCUUUUUUUUUUUUUUUUCUUUCCUUUUGAUAGGUAAAUAUUUGUACUCAUUGGGACUUGAAUUUGGAACUUCCUACAAGCUAUCCCCAUCCCUUUCACCACUUAAGCCAGACCUGAAGGGCUUCACUAACAACAACAUGCUCAUUUUAAUCUUAUAUCUUAAUUUCUAGUUUUUAAAUUUAAGAUAUCAGUUAUUUGCUUUUAAUUUUCACUUCUAAUUUUUUCAUUCAAAUUUUAAUUUAAUUUUUAAUUUUUAAAUAAUUUUCAAUUUCUAAUCAAACUUCUAAUUUUUAAAUUUCUAACUUUUGAAUUUCAAAAUUUAUUUUAUUUUAUUUUUUAAUCAAUUUUUUAUUUUAAAUUUUAAUUAUCAUUUUUUUUAAAAAAAAUUAUAAUUUUUGAAAAUAUUUAAUUUUAAAAUUUCAAAAUUUUAAAAAUUUCAAAAGUAAUAACUAUAAUAAUAAUUUUAAUAAAAUAGGAAUGAUGAGGUGGUGAAUUGUAGGCACAUGUUGGGAGCAAGCUUUGAAUAAGUAAACAUAAGAGUGGAUAUUAGGAGAGAAAGUGAAACAAAGGAAAAAUGUAAAAGAAAACAAAAACAAUAAAGGGCUAAAGAAAACAAGGAGUAAAAGAAAAAACAAAUAAAUAAAAAUAAAAACAAUAAAGGGUUAAAGAAAACAUGGAGUAGAAGCCACAAUUUUUUACUUGAUAUAAUAGGGCCAAAGGCCAUAAAAGUUACAUAAUUCAACCCAAAAUCAGGACGUUAGUAUAUAAUUGAUAUAAAAUUGUAGACCCCCCCCCCCGAGGAGCUGAGAGUUUUUUUUAUGAUUAUUCUUUUUGCUAUUUUUCUGACUCCUCUGAAGUGGGCUGUUCUCGGGCGGCAGAUGGGAUGGGGGUACGGAGAUGGCUUGGAGGAGAAGCUAAAAAAGAAAAGAGGGAAAAGAAAAAGAAAGGGGGGAGAUAUCUGCAGAGGGGGCUUCUCUGGAGGAGGGGGAGAAGAACAGAGUGAUAGAGAAAAAGAGAUCGGACAGAGGAGAGGCUGUUGGCUGGUCUUUCUUGGAGAAAGGAGCCCGGUGGUCGCCAAAGCAAGACAGGUAUUUUUUUUCGGUAUCACCAUUUUAUAGUUUUUUUUCGUAGGCUCCCUCAGAUUUCAAUUUCUCCUUGUUUUGUUCUCCGUGAGUUCAACCCUACUUGUUGAGCUGCUGUGUUUUUUAUGAUUAUCAGAUUGACCUUUAAAGAAUUUACUAUCUUUUAAUGUUUCACCUCAGCAAGCAUCUUCUACUUUAAUCCACUGAAUGUUAGAUUCAUGGAUGAGAUAGUAAAACGGGUUUGGCAUGCUUGUAAAACGUUCCAUGUUCUGUGUUCCUUCCUAUUUUCUUUGCUUCUCUGUUUUCGCCAUGGUGAAGUACUCCAUCAGGCUUCGUGCUGAGAAGACUGGAAACCCGGUUUUCCUCAAUCUCGUUCCUCUUCUCGUGGGUAAUGUGGGUCCGAUUUUCACGAAGGGUGAUUUGAAGGAGGUCGACGAAGAGGUGGCCAAGUACAAGGUUGGAGCUCCUGCCCGUACUGGAUUAGUGGCCCAUAUUGAUGUCAUUGCCCCACCUGGUAACACUGGACUCAACCUUGCUCACACCCGAGCCUCCAUCAAACCCAUCUCUCCAACCUUUUCCCGAGUCUCCAUCAAGGUCACUCUCCAUCACCGCCAGCCGCCCACACUGUCAAUAGCACCCCCACUCAUUUUCAUGCCCAUCUCUCACGCAUUCUUGAAUUCCCAUGCAAACAAAAUCCCAUGCAUGUCGCCAUCAACUCUACCCAGCCCGCCCGCUAUAGGAACUCGGUGACAGCAGCAUUGUCGGCGAUGCACGUGGCGAACUCCCCCCCAGACGGCCAAGUUCGACCGAGGAAGCCUCUGACGCGCUUGUAAAGGCCGCGACUGCUGGCUCCAUCCUCGGGUGCAGACACCAAGUUGCAGCUGCGGGCUCCUCUCAUGAACGCCGACGCUGGAACGCGACGGCGAAUGCGACACGGGUGGCGAUAAUCGAGGCGGCGGCGCAUAAAGCGGGCAGCUUGGACCAGCUUCGAGGGCUCCGACGAAGCCUCUCAUCUCCAGUUCCUCCGUCGUCGUCGUCUGAAGUGGAGAGGAGCUGUGGAGAAGAUGAAUAUUUGGGCUUGAGUUAGAGCCCAAUCCAAGCCUGUGAUGGAGUUAGAGUUCAGGGCCAAUCCAAGAUGAUGGAUAUGGGCCAGGCUGAAAGGCCCAAAGGGAGAAUGAGAGUGGACUUGGGCUUUAGUGGGCUGGACUCAGAUGAUAGGCCCAAGUUUGUGAAGGCAUUGGGUGCCUUGGGCUUGCCCAUUUGACAUUUUUGGGCUUGGGCUUGAUGGAUGCAUAUUAUCAUUUAUUAUUAUUAUUAAUUAUUAUUAUCCUUGUUAUUAUUAUUAUUAAUAAUUAUUAUUAUCAUUAUUAUUAUUAUUAUUGAUUAUUAUUAUUAUGGUUUCUAUCAUUAUUAUUAUUGUUAAUUAUUAUUAUCAUUGUUAUUAUCAUUAUUAUUAAUCAUUAUUAUCAUUUCACACUAUCAACAUCCAUUUAUUACUAUUAUUAUCAUCAUUAACCCAAACUUUCAAAAAUCUCAUUAUUAUUAUCAUUAUCUCAACUUUCAAAAUCUUAUUAUUAUUAUUAUCAUUAAUCCAAACUUUCAAAACCCUAUUAUUAUUAUUACUAACCCAACUUUCAAAAUCUCAUUAUUAUCAUUAUUAUUAAUUCACACUUUCAACAUCUAUUUAUUAUCAUUAUUAUCAUCAUUAAUCCAAACCUCCAAAAUCUCAUCAUUAUCAUUAUUAUUAAUUCACAUUUUCAAAAUCUAUUUAUUAUUAUUUAUUAUUAUCAUUAAUCCCAACUCUCAAAAUCUUAUUAUUAUCAUUAUUGUUAACUCAACUUUCAACAUCUAUUUAUUAUUAUUAGAAAAUUUUGGGUGUAAAAUCAUGUUUUAAAACUAGAGUCUUUAGUCUUAACCCUUGACCUCAAACCCAUUUUUGCCGGAAAAUUGGCGUUUUAGGGAGACUAUGUCUGGUCAGAAGGGGGGUAUUACCUUGACACGAAGUGAUGUUUUAAAAUUUUUGAAUUUUAACCUGAAUUUUUGAGAUAUCUGAUUUCAAAAACUUAAUUUUUAUACGUUCAAGAUUUCAAAAACUUAAUUUUAUAUGUUAAAAAACUUUAACUAUAAGCACAGAACCCUUUUUAUAUUAUUUUAAUAAGUGUUUGAAAAAAUUUUAUAUUAAAAUAUUAAGUUUUUCAAAAUGUCUGAAACCUUUUAUGUUAUUUUAAUAAAGUUUGAAACUUUUAUGUUAAUUUAAUAUGUUUUUGUAACUUUUAUAUUAAAAUAUUAAGUAGAUGUAAAAUGUUUAUAUUAUUUUAAUGAUAGUAAUAAAUGUGUUCACACUUUAAUUCAAUAAAAAACUUUAAUUGAACUCUCAUUGCUAACGGAGAUUUUAAGAACCUUUACUAACAAACUGUUGUUGAAACUGCUUAUUGGGAAAAGUGACUGGUGAUGAGAAAAGUUGGUAUCAGAGCUUCUCUCUGUGUAUUGCAGUAUAUUAAUUAGGAAAGGAGACUGUAGAUUCAAAUUGAUUUUCAGAGUACCGAACUUUACCUUACCCCAUAUAAAGUCUGAUUAAUUUUGCUUAAUUUAUUCUGAAUCUUUAUUUGCUCUGCUUACUUAACAUGAAUUAGGAAUUAAUGUCUUUUAUUCCUUAUCCUCCUGGUAUAUAUAAUAUAGAUUAUGAUCGUGUAAAAGAACUUAAUAAUAGGUUGUAUUCUCAACGUAAAGAAUUUAGAGAAACUUGUGAUAAAUUACAUAAUUUAAGAACUAUUGUAAAAGAUUUAACCACAGAUAUUAAAAACUUAACUUCUCUUAUUUGUCCAUCCUCUAGUUCUAAUCCUAAAAAUUCUAUUUGAGUCUUAAAUAAUUUCAAUUUCUUUUUACUUACUAUUAAUCCAUGACUAAUUAAUUUUUCAAAAAUCAAUUCUAAAUGCUUUAUGUGUUCUUGAAGAGUAUAUGAAAAGACAAGAAUAUCAUCAAUAUAUACAAGAACAAAAGAAUAUUUUCCAAAAAUAUUAUCCAUCAUUCGUUGGAAUAUCUGAGGAGCAUUUUUUAGUCCAAAUGGCAUUACAUUCCAUUCAUAUAAUCCACAAGGACAUGAAAACGCUGUCCAUGGUUUACUAUCCUCUUCUAAUCUGAUUUGCCAAAAUCCACUUUUACAGUCUAACUGAGAAAAAUAUUUACAUCCUUGAAUAGAAUUAAUUAAAGAAUCUUUGUUCGGAAUUUUAUAGGCAUCAUCAUAUGUAUUAUCAUUUAAUCUUUUAUAAUUAAUAACCAUCCUAGCUUUUCCUCGUUUUUCUUUAUUAUGGUUCCUAACUAAAAAGGCUGAGGAUCUAUGGGGACUGAAACUUGGUUUUAUGAGGUUAUUCUAUAACAGUUCUUCUAUUUGAAUUUUGAAUUCCUUUGUAUCUAUAAGAUUGCAUGCUAUAUCUGCAGUUUUUAUUAUUAAAUCUGGGUUUUUAAUUGGUAUUUUACAAGUUGUCUUAUUUUUAUUCCAAUGUUUUUGUGGGUCUUUUCCUAUAAUUCCUAUUUUUUCUGCUUCUAAUAUAAGGGUUUUUAAUCUAUUUGCAUUUCUUAAUUGUUCUGAGUAGUCAUUAAUUAUGCUAUCCUUUUGUGCCUCCACUUUGCUAAUUUGAUGAGAUGUUACAUUAUGAUUUUUAUUUAAUACAUUUUCCAUGUUUGUAUAAACAAUUGUUGUGGUUUUAGGAUGAAAACUAACUUGGUUAUUUUGUAUUGUUAUCCCUCCUUGUAAAGAAUGUACAAAAUUUAAACCUAAAAUAAAAGGAUAUAAACUUAUAGUAGGUACAAAAUAAGUUUGGGGUAAUACUAAGGUUAUGUUAUUAAUUAUGAUUGGUACGUUUGAAAUAUACUUGGUUAGUAUUAGUUUUUGUUGAUUGUAUUGGAUUAAUUCUACUGGUUGAACUAAUGUUUGCUGAUCUUCUUGAGGUACUAAGGUUUCAAAUAAAAGGUUUUUACUGGCUCUAGUAUCUAACAUUGCGUCUACCUUUAAUUCUAUGGUUUUUAAUUUAAUUGUUGUUGGAAAAAUAAUAGAUUUAACUUUAUUUGCCAUAUUUACUUGUUCUAUUGUUUGUAUGGUUAUUUUUUCAGGAUUCAUUGGUUCUUUUACAAGACUUUUUGGUUUUUCUGUGUGUUCUUCUGUGUCCUUAGUUUUUGAACUACUAUCUUCUUCUUCUUUUGAAAAUUUUCCUUUGAUUAUUAUUUGUAAAUCUUUCCAUAUAUUAUAAGAUUUUAUUUUACUUUCUAAAGGUUGUACAAGGUUUUCUAAAUUUAAAGGGGUUUUCUUAGCUUGAUUUUCCUCUUUUUCAAUAAUCAUACAAAUUUCUUCUUUUUCAUUUUCACUAUCUUCUACACUAUAUACACUUGAAUUUUCACUUUCAAAGUCUAAUUCACUGAUAAGUUCUUCUUCUUCACUAUCUAGCUGAUACUCAUUUAUUAGGUUUAUUUUUACUUGGGUUUUUCUAUUUCGUUCAUUUAAUGGUUUUUUAAGUUCAGGACAUUCAGGUCUUAUAUGGCCUUCCUGACCACACAAAUAACAUUUACACUGUCUUUUUCUUUCUGAGGUUCUUUUUCUUUUUAUCCAAAACUUUCCAGGUUUUUUAUACCUUGUAUGAUAUGGUCGUUUUUUAUAAAAGGUUCUUGACUUUCUUCUUAAAAAUUUAUUAUAUCUCUUAGGUUUUCUAAACUUAUAUUCUCUGCAUCCUAUAUCUAGAUUUUCUCCUAUAUGUAAUUUUCUAACAAGUUGGUUGAUUUAUGUCUUGUUUNNNNNNNNNNNNNNNNNNNNNNNNNNNNNNNNNNNNNNNNNNNNNNNNNNNNNNNNNNNNNNNNNNNNNNNNNNNNNNNNNNNNNNNNNNNNNNNNNNNNNNNNNNNNNNNNNNNNNNNNNNNNNNNNNNNNNNNNNNNNNNNNNNNNNNNNNNNNNNNNNNNNNNNNNNNNNNNNNNNNNNNNNNNNNNNNNNNNNNNNNNNNNNNNNNNNNNNNNNNNNNNNNNNNNNNNNNNNNNNNNNNNNNNNNNNNNNNNNNNNNNNNNNNNNNNNNNNNNNNNNNNNNNNNNNNNNNNNNNNNNNNNNNNNNNNNNNNNNNNNNNNNNNNNNNNNNNNNNNNNNNNNNNNNNNNNNNNNNNNNNNNNNNNNNNNNNNNNNNNNNNNNNNNNCAUUCAAAUAUUUAAGAGAAGUUAAGUUUUUAAUAUCUGUGGUUAAAUCUUUUACAGUAGUUCUUAAAUUAUGUAAUUUAUCACAAGUUUCUCUAAAUUCUUUACGUUGAGAAUACAACCUAUUAUUAAGUUCUUUUACACGAUCAUAAUCUAUAUUAUAUAUACCAGGAGGAUAAGGAAUAAAAGACAUUAAUUCCUAAUUCAUGUUAAGUAAGCAGAGCAAAUAAAGAUUCAGAAUAAAUUAAGCAAAAUUAAUCAGACUUUAUAUGGGGUAAGGUAAAGUUCGGUACUCUGAAAAUCAAUUUGAAUCUACAGUCUCCUUUCCUAAUUAAUAUACUGCAAUACACAGAGAGAAGCUCUGAUACCAACUUUUCUCAUCACCAGUCACUUUUCCCAAUAAGCAGUUUCAACAACAGUUUGUUAGUAAAGGUUCUUAAAAUCUCCGUUAGCAAUGAGAGUUCAAUUAAAGUUUUUUAUUGAAUUAAAGUGUGAACACAUUUAUUACUAUCAUUAAAAUAAUAUAAAAAUUUUACAUCUACUUAAUAUUUUAAUAUAAAAGUUACAAAAACAUAUUAAAUUAACAUAAAAGUUUCAAACAUAUUAAAAUAACAUAAAAACAUAUUAAAUAAUCUUUUAUAAUUAAUAACCAUCCUAGCUUUUCCUCGUUUUUCUUCAUUAUGGUUCCUAACUAAGAACAAUUAAGAAAUGCAAAUAGAUUAAAAACCCUUAUAUUAGAAGCAGAAAAAAUAGGAAUUAUAGGAGAAGACCCACAAAAACAUUGGAAUAAAAAUAAGACAACCUGUAAAAUACCAAUUAAAAACCCAGAUUUAACAAUAAAAACUGCAGAUAUAGCAUGCAAUCUUAUAGAUACAAAGGAAUUCAAAAUUCAAAUAGAAGAACUGUUACAGAAUAACCUCAUAAAACCAAGUUUCAGUCCCCAUAGAUCCUCAGCCUUUUUAGUUAGGAACCAUAAUGAAGAAAAACGAGGAAAAGCUAGGAUGGUUAUUNNNNNNNNNNNNNNNNNNNNNNNNNNNNNNNNNNNNNNNNNNNNNNNNNNNNNNNNNNNNNNNNNNNNNNNNNNNNNNNNNNNNNNNNNNNNNNNNNNNNNNNNNNNNNNNNNNNNNNNNNNNNNNNNNNNNNNNNNNNNNNNNNNNNNNNNNNNNNNNNNNNNNNCUAAGUGCAUAUUAUUUAUCGGUUUUAUUUUUUAAUAAUUUAUGUUUUGUUUCUGGAGAUACUAAAUCUAAAUAUACAAUAUUUCCUAUUGAACUUAUAGUAUGUUGAUUUAAAAAUCUAGUUAUUUUAUAAUUUUGAACUAAUUGUUUUUUGUAAGGUGUUACUUCCUUUACUGCCUUUUUUAAUUUUUCUUCAAUAAAUUCUUUUACAUUGUCUCGAGGGUUUAUUGCUUCUACUAUUUCCAUGGUAAAAGGAUUUAUUUUUCUUUCUAUUUUAAUUAUUGGUUUUUCUCCUAAAUUAAAGUUUUCAAAUUGUUUUAAAAGGUUAUUUAAUUUUUGUUCCUCUGAUAUUACUAUAUUUCUUUGUUCUAAAAGUUUAUCUACUUUUUGGUUAAUUUUUUCUAAAGUUUCUUUUAAAUUUUGUUGUUCUAAUUUUAUUUGUUCUAUUUCUUUUCUAACAAAUUUUUCUUCUCUAGCUAAUUGUUCUUUAAUAUAAUCUAGGUUAUUUCUUAGCAAAUUAUGGUUCUUAAAGUCUUCCAGCUUCUUUUCUAAUUCCUAAGACCGUGUUUAGUUUUUCUACAGAUUUUAUUUGUCUUUUCUGGAUUUCUUUUAAAAUAUCUAUAUUGUUUUGGUUUUCUUUCUGAAUUUGUUCUUGUAAUACUUCGUUUGUUAUUUUUAAUUGUGUCUCUACUAAAAAUUUUUACUGCUUUACCUCUUGGGUUUGUAGAUGAGGGUUCAUUAUCUCUAAUAUGUUUUAAUUAGAUGAGCUAGCAUAUAAAUUAUCAAUAUAAUAUUUUAUAAUUUCUCUUCUAAUUAUGGUUUCUGUAGCAAAAAGUUCAUCAAAAGCUUUUUGUAUCGCUACUUCGUAUUCAUUCAAAUAUUUAAGAGAAGUUAAGUUUUUAAUAUCUGUGGUUAAAUCUUUUACAGUAGUUCUUAAAUUAUGUAAUUUAUCACAAGUUUCUCUAAAUUCUUUACGUUGAGAAUACAACCUAUUAUUAAGUUCUUUUACACGAUCAUAAUCUAUAUUAUAUAUACCAGGAGGAUAAGGAAUAAAAGACAUUAAUUCCUAAUUCAUGUUAAGUANNNNNNNNNNNNNNNNNGUAGACAAAUAAUUAAUAAUGUCGAUAAUACUAAUGAUUGAUUUCAUGAUUACAGGAACAUGGCUCAAAGAAAACCUACGAAAGCUAGAACCUUUCAAUAUGGAACCAUAUGUCUAAACGAAGUGUUGAAUCCAAACCUAAGGUUUAACUCUUUAUUUUCUCAAAACCUUUUUGAAGAACAUAAGGUUAUUGUAGAUAAUUUUUGGUCUUUAAAACCACAAAGUUUUCCGAACCAAAAUUUAGAAUACGCUUAUGGAAAAACAGUGUCAGCUUUAGCCCAACAUUUACAAAACCUUCAAAACCAACUGAUUGCUUUAGAAACCCAAAAAUUCCAAAACCUCAAAAUCCAAGAAAAUCAAGAAAAACUGAUAGAAGAUUUGAAAACCAGUACAGUGUCAACCAAUCAAACCAGCUGUUCAAACAGUCAACCUGAAGUAAUUAGUUUAAUUAAGAAAUCAGCUCUUCUGACUGAACAAUAUGAAAGGCUUAUUGUUAAAAAUAUAAUUGGAGUUGAUAACUACUCUUUCGUCAAAACCUUUUUUCUACAAAACCAAUAUAACAAAGUGUUUAAAAAUCAAGAACUUUUGUAUAAACAUUUUAGAACUAAAAAUGCCGGGAUAAAAACAGGGUAUAUGGCAUAUCACGACCCUGAAUUUUUCUUUGUUAUAUAUCUAGCUUAUGUAAAUAUGUCUAUUGUAAAUAAAGAAAAUUUUGAUUUAGUACCGCAACUUAUGGAUCAGGGAAUUUUAAAAAAUGUUUUUAUGAACCAUAUAUCUCAAAUCCCUGAAAAUUUCCCAGAAAAAUUGAAAGAUAUUUUAACUUAUCUUUUUAAAACCGAAAAAUAUAUAGAUAUUUCUUUUGAAACCAUUCCACCUUUAUUUCAACCCGAUGGAUCAGAAGUACCAGCCUAUCAUCAUGUAUAUAUAAAACAUAAUAAAGAACCACUCAUCCCUCAACAAGAACCAGAAUGGGAAAUGACCCGUUCAGAUGAAUUUGCAGAAUUUUUUACUCGCUAUAGAGCUUUUCAAAUCUAUGAUCUUAGACCAACCCGGAAUAAAUUAUUUCAUCUCAUUGGCGAAACAAAAACCAUGUCUAUAUGGAGAAUAAAACCUUUAGAACACAUUAUUGUUCCAAACCCUUUUAUUACUUCUGAAGAACAGGAUUUUAUAACCGAACUCAGUGUAGAUAUACCGGAACCAUCUUCCUACCUCAGCGAUGACACAUUAUUUUGGGACAACCUGGAUGAUGAAAGUUAUCAUAAUCUACAAAAUGCAAUGGAAGGAUGAUGUCAGCAAUGACGACAUUGAAGCAGUAAAUGCGUCUUCAACUACAAAAAUUAAACAUGGAAGUACAAGUUCAGAAGCAGUAAAGACAUCCACAAGCCACGUGUUAUGCAUGUAAUAAAAAGAGAAGAAAAGGACAAGAGAAAGAGACAAGAAAGAAGAGAAGAACGGAUGAAUUAAAGUCAUAGUCUCAAAAGUCUUUGUAUUUAUUUUAUACCAAACCUUUGAACACCGUAAAUAUUUUUCCUGCCAUCCAACCACUUGAAAUUAAUUCUCACCUGUAUUCUCACCUGUCAUUUGUAAAUGCUUUGCCUAUAUAUUAGUGGUAAAAGAAAAGAAGUGUGUGCCCGAGAGAGUGUGUUAAAAGGUGUGUGCAAUAGUGUCUGUAAAAGGAAGCUCCAUCUUCAGCCUUGUACAAUCAUCAGCAAUCAAUAAGAAAGUAAGAAUUUUCUGUUAAAUUUUUGCCUUCAUUUAAAUUUAUUAUGUAUUUUUCUUACCCUUAGGGGGUAAAAAGGGGUAAAAAGGUAAAGUAGGGAAAUGAAAAUUAUUUGAAUUAUUUUUAAGUUUUCUUUACUAGUUAAUAUAUGUAAUAUACAUGGAUCCUUUUUAUAUAAUGUUCUCAUCAACAUAAAAAAAAAAAAAAAAAAAAUCGGCUUAUUUAGAAAAUUUUGGGUGUAAAAUCAUGUUUUAAAACUAGAGUCUUUAGUCUUAACCCUUGACCUCAAACCCAUUUUUGUCGGAAAAUUGGCGUUUUAGGGAGACUAUGUCUGGUCAGAAGGGGGGUAUUACCUUGACACGAAGUGAUGUUUUAAAAUUUUUGAAUUUUAACCUGAAUUUUUGAGAUAUCCGAUUUCAAAAACUUAAUUUUUAUACGUUCAAGAUUUCAAAAACUUAAUUUUAUAUGUUAAAAAACUUUAACUAUAAGCACAGAACCCUUUUUAUAUUAUUUUAAUAAGUGUUUGAAAAAAUUUUAUAUUAUUAUCAUUAUUAUUAUCAUUAAUCCGAACUUUCAAAAAUCUCAUUAUUAUCAUUAUUAUUAAUUCACACUUUCAACAUCUAUUUAUUAUCAUUAUUAUCAUCAUUAAUCCAAACCUCCAAAAUCUCAUCAUUAUCAUUAUUAUUAAUUCAUAUUUUCAAAAUCUAUUUAUUAUUAUUUAUUAUUAUUGUUAACUCAACUUUCAACAUCUAUUUAUUAUUAUUAGUAUCAUCAUUAAUCCAAACUUCCAAAAAUCUCAUUAUUAUUAUUAUUAUCAUUAACUCAACUUUCAACAUCUAUUUAUUAUUUAUUAUCAUCAUUAAUCCCAACUCUCAAAAAUCUCAUUAUUAUUAUUAUUAUUAUAAACUCAACUUUCAAAGUCUAUUUAUUAUUAUUAUUAUCAUCAUCAACCCAAACUUCCAAAAAUCUCAUUAUUAUUAUUAUUAUUAACUCAACUUUCAAAAUCUAUUUAUUAUCAUUAUUAUUAUCAUUAAUCCGAACUUUCAAAAAUCUCAUUAUUAUCAUUAUUAUUAAUUCAUACUUUCAACAUCUAUUUAUUAUUAUUUAUUAUUAUCACUAAUCCAAACCUCCAAAAUCUCAUCAUCAUCAUUAUUAUUAAUUCGCACUUUCAACAUCUAUUUAUUAUUAUUAUUAUCAUCAUUAAUCCAAACUCUCUUAUUAUCAUUAUUGUUAACUCAAUUUUCAAAAUCUAUUUAUUAUUGUUAUUAUUAUCAUUAAUUCAGACUUUCGAAAUCUUAUAAUUAUUAUUAUUAUUAUUAAUUCAACCUCUCAAGACCUCAUUACUACCAUUAUUAUAAAUUCAACUUUCAAAAGUCUAUGGUCUCGCAUUUCAAUUUCCUAAAGUCCGUUUCUCAUUUUCUUUAACAAAUUUCGAUUUAAUCACCGGAGCUCUAAUCUUCAAAAUUUAAUUCCAAAUACUCCAAUUUUCAAAUAAGCUCCAAUAAUUCAGUUUUCACUCGAAUAGUUCUUAAUCACAUUUCAGUUCCUAAAUAAUCUUCUGAUCUUCUUGAUUUUAUAUAAGCAAUAGUGAUUCCUUCAUAAUUCUAAAACACGGGAUUUGUGAGACUAAGUCAUGAACAAUAAAUCGGGCUUUGUUGGGGGCCCUAUGUUUGACCCCUUUUGACUGUCAAUUAUCGUGCUUACUGUAUUUUGCUUGAGCUUCGUUUUGCACUCCGAUAUGCAUAGGCUAUAUUUUGUAUUCAUUAAUUGUGCACUAAUCCCGUUUCUUUAUAGCGCGUUGUUGUUUGCUGCUCAGGUACGCAUUCACUCAUUCUGCUCAUACACUGUACAUAUUCUGAUUCUCACAUAUGCAUGAUUGAUGUGAGUAUCCAUUGACUUUCUUAUUCGAUUGCCACGUCAGUUUCACUUUAUUAGUAGAGACCCGACUUUAGGGGCUUAGAGGGGUGCUACGGUCUUUACCGUACCUUCCCGAUGAGUAACUUGACCCCCGAACCCGAUCCGGUUUUUCACAGACCACCUUUUCCAAAACAAGGAGUCACACUUAGGGUUUUUCUUUCUUAUUUUGUUUACCCUUUUAAAAAUAAAACAAAAAUAAGUGGCGACUCCAAGUCAUUUUUAAUUAACAAAUUAAUUUUUCAAAUAAAAAUCGAGCUCGCCAUUCGAGUGGGAAACGCAUGAGCCGAAAUGUGGGGUCCACAAAAAUAUUUUCGAUUUGUAAACUAACCCAUUAUGCCCAAAAUCCUUUAAUGGUUUAUUAGAUUAAUAUUAUAACAAUUAACUUAUUAAUAAUCUUAAUAUUAUUCAUUUUAAUUAAAUAAUAAUAAUAAUAUUUUGUAUUACAUAUAAAUGUACAAAGUAUUUAAACACUUUUUUUACACUUAUAUCAUAUCAUUAUUAUAUGUAAUUAAUUCAAAUAAUGUUUUUGGACAACCUCUAAAUUAGUUUAGAUAAUGUUUGUGUUUUAGAAAAAUUAUCAUUAUUUCUUUUUUUUUUUUUAAAAAAAAAAAAAAACUUGAUUGAGAUAAUAAUUCUCCUUUAAAAACCUAAUUUAGAUAAUGUUUCUCUCUUAAAAAAAUUAUCAUUAUUUUUUAAUAAAAAAAACUUGAUUUAAAUAAUGAUUCUCUUUGAAAACUUAUCAUGAUUUUAUUUUCCAUUCUUGAUUUAUUUAAUAAAAAAAUAUUUAAAUUAAAAUCAAAUAAAUAUAAAAAAUUGGGUUGAAUUAAUUCGUUUUUUUUAAUCCAAUUUUUAAAAAGAAAUUAUUCUUCAAUCUGUAUUCAAUUCAUAUGAUAAUAAUAUAUUAUUGUUUUAAUGGUUAUUUCAAUUUUUUUUUUUUUAAAUUAAUAUUUGAAGAUGAUAUAAGUUUUUCAUAGAAAAAAUUUAAUAAAUUGUUCAUGUAUUAUGUAUUUAUUAUUAUAUUCAUUCAAAGUAUUCAUUGUUAUGUUAAUUAAAAUUGAUUUUUUUUUUAUGAAUACUUCUUUACCAAAAUAAAUAUUAAGAAUCAUUAUCUAUUUAUUUUAUAUUUUUCAAUAAAAAUAUCUCUUAUUAAAAAAAUAUUUAAUGACUUUUUGUAUAUAAGUUUUCCUAAGUAGCCAUUCAUAUUCAUUAAUUCAAAUAUCUAGAUGUAAUUAAUUCUUUGUUUUCUCCAAAGACAAUCUACUUUUUAUAAAAAUAUUAUAAUGUAAUUAAAAUAAUUUUAAUAUCUUCAUUUAAAAAAAUGAUGAUAAUUUAAUUUUUUUUUUUAUAAAAAUUGGAUAAAUAAAAUUAUGACAACUGAUUUGUUUAUCCAUAUCAUAGAAGAUUUAUAUUUAUUGUUGUUUAAUCAUUCUUGUCUUAUUUCAUGUAAAAUCAUUUUUUUAAAAAGAAAAUUUUAUUAUGACUAUAAUUUAUAAAUUUGUAAUAAAAUAUAUAUCUUUAAAUGAUGAUUUUGAAAAAUAUUAUAUUUUUUAAAAUAGAUUCACAACUAUUUUUUUUUUAUAUAUACAAAAUUUUCUUAAAAAUAAACAUAGUUAUAACAAAAAAACUCUUCAUUAGAGUAUGAGAUUUAAAGAGUCAAUCUUUUCAUCUUAGUAAAUUGCGUCUUAAAUAAAUUCAUCCCAUUAAAUAGAUUCAUCUCAUUAAUAGACCCAUUAAAUAGAUUCAUUUCAUCAAAUUCUAUUUUAUUUCUACGUCUCCCUUUAUAUAUUACUCUUACUUUUAUAUCCCAUUAAAUUUUAUUAUCUUAUUUUUGCAUCCAUUUAAAUUUUAUUUUGCUUCUACGUCACCUUUAUCUCUUUGCUAUCAUGUUCUAUUACUCUUAUUUUGUGACAUGAUAUUACCUAUUUAUUACUUGUUUCAUAUCAACAACACUGUAAUUAAGGGCUAUUUUAUUUAAAUAAUAUUAUUUUUCAAAACAAUACUUUAAAAAAUCCUAUAUCUACAUCUGGAUUAUGUCUAAAAGAAUAGUCAUCCUCUAAAACAUCUUAUACCCAAAAACCACUCCUCAAAAAUUUUAUAGUUCUCUAGAAUCCCUUCAAUAAAUGUUAAUGAGUUUUCACUUCAUAUUCCUCCUUUUAUGGAUGAUGUCUUUUUAGUGUCAACACUAAGAAUUUUAUUGAUUUCAUAUUUAAUGUUUUUUUAAUUUUAACUUUCAUAUUUAAUGUCUUUUGAUUCUAUUCACCUAUAAAUAAACUCAUGUUCUCAAUUUGUAAAGUAUUCAUUUUUAUUUCUCUCCGUUUUCCCUUUUCCCUUUCAUUACCAAAUUUUAUUUGCUCACAAAAUGACACAAAUUAGUAUUUUCUCAUCGUUCGAUCCUAUUUGCUCACAAAAUGUCAUAACAUGAAGGGUUUGGUGUUUUUUUUUUUGCAAAUCCUAUAGUCCCAAUAUUGGAUACCACCUUGGCACCUGCUCUAUUGCUUGAUAUUGGAUUUGUUUUUUGUGUUUCUCUUCAACAUUCUUUGAUGUUGUAUCUCUCUUCAGCGUAAUGAUUGUCUCCUCCUUGAUCUUUUCUCUUCUCACUCUCAUGAAUCAUAUCUAAUGGAUUUGUUUUUCAUAUCUUUCUUCAACAUUCUUUGAUGUUGUAUGCAUUGUUAGUCUGUCCUCACUCUCAUGAAGCCUCUCUGAUCUUUUAUGGAUCAACGCUAUUUUUUAUAGGAUUGAUUUUGUUGGGGGAUCAAGAAUGAUAUUGUAUUCACUCUUAAAGAUUAUAUUGAAUUUUCAAAUAAAUAUAUUCCAAUUUUAUUUUAAAAUAUUUCUCUAUAAUUAUGUUUAUUCUUAUUUAAUUAUUUUACUAUUGAUCACAAUCAAAUUAAUUUCAGUAUGAAAAAAAGGAUGUAAUUUGAAUAUGAAAAAAAAUGAUGAAGGAAAAGAGAGAAGUUGGGAAGAUAAUUGUGAUAAAAAAAAAAUCUAGGUGUUUAAUUAAUUUUAAAAUUGGCUGGAUAAUUUAUCAACAAAUUACUCUAAAAAACUCCCAAAUUUAAUUUAAACUAUCUUAUCUAAUACAAAUAAAAUAUAAUGCACAAAAGUUUUGUAUAUUUAAAAUAAUAAAUUCAACUAUUCAUGUCAACUAUUCAUGUUGAGAAAAUAAAGACUAAUCUUUAAAAGAGAAAACACCCAAAGGGGGAGGGGGGAGGGGGGAGGGGGGAGGGGGGGAAUUGGGAUUAAAAAAAAUCUUUUUAAACACAACAAAUUUAAGCAUAAAAGGAGCAAAUAAAAUGAGAUAAAGUUAGAGAAAUCAAACUCAGAUUUUAUAGUGGUUCGACACUUCCUUACUUACGUCCACUCUCCUCAAGCUCCUAACCGAGUGAGGGUUCCGCUAACUUGAAGUUUCAACCAAGCUUCCAAUCACCUUUACACUUGGAUUUCAGCUCCAAUGGACUCUUACACAAUCUUUUCAAGUUUCAACUCACUUGAAGGCUUUAACACUCAAUUAACAAGAAUGAAUCUCUCAACCUAGCUCAAUAAUAGCUCAAAUACAACUUAAGGCUAGGAUGAAUCACAAAGGUGCACUAAAUGAUAUGCAAAUAAAGAUUUAAUGCACCAAGAAAGGAAUGAGAGCUUUUAAGGCAAGAGCAAGUGGGUAGACAAAUAAAUACAGGUGUUCUCUUGCUCAUAAAUGAAGUGGAGCUCUCUAUUUAUAGGCUUCUAACCUCGGGAGCCAAGAAAGCCAAAAAGCAACCUUAAUCGGUCAAGCUGGGGGUUGACCGGUUCACUAGCCGUUGGAGUAUUUAAUGCUUGGCAGGUAACCGUUACCCUCGACCAGACCUCAACCAGGAAGGAAGAUCCCUCGACUAGGAUGAAAAAGCUACUGGAAGAGAGAGAGUGCUUUUUGCACCUCUCAGCUGGACCUCGACUAGAAAUAGGGAACCGAUCGACCGGUACCCCUAGCUGGUUGAGCCGGUUGGCCAGUGCCUCAACCGGUUCACCAUUUUUGGCCCUAAAACCUAUCUUUUUUUGUUCUUUUCUCUUCUAACACUUAGGCAAGGUCUUUAGGUAAAUUAAUAUGCCAAUUUUGAAGUGAUUUGCCUAAGGUUCAUUUGAUAAAACUCGGGUUUUGAUGAAACUAUAACUUUAAAGAAUAAACCAAGUUUUUCAAAAAUGCAUGAAAUGAUAUGUAAAACCUAAGUGCACCCAUGCAUUCAUAUUACAUAUAUUUCCUAUGAUUAAAGGUCUUCCAAAGGUCUUGAUCUUGCAUAUAUUAGGUCAUUUGAUGAAUUUUUAAAUUAACACCUGAAAUUCUUUAUAAUUCAAACCAGUUAGUACCUUAACCAUGGUUUGUUAUCAUCAAAACCUGAUUAGGAGAACCCUUGGGCUAACACAUGUGAACUUUAAAAAAAAAAUGAUGAUAGAUUAAUUUUCAAUAUUUUAAGUUUCUAAAGUUAUCAUAAUAAAUUUCAAAUUUAUUUCAAAAUAUUUAUAAGCAAUUAAUUUUAUUCUUAUCUAAUUAUUUUACUAUUGAUCGUGAUCAAAUUAAUAUCAGUAUUAACAUAGAACAAAUGAUGAAAGGAAGGAAUGAAGGAGUUGGGAAGAUAAUUGUAAUGAUAGUUAUUUGCAUCAUUUUAUAUAUUUAUAUAUUAUUUUAAUUAAUUUUUAAAUAUAAAAUUUUAUUAAAAUAAAUCUUAAAAAUCUCUUAUUUAAUUUAAAUGAUCUUAUUUAAUAUGACUAAAACAUAAUUCACAAAAUUUUUGUAUAUUUAAAAUAAUAAAUUCCACUAUUCAUAUAACCUUUUAAAAAAAAUUAAUAAUAUGUUAAUUUUCAAUAUUUUAAGUUUCUAAAGUUAUCAUCAUAAAUUUCCAACUAAAAGUCUAGAUUGUUGAAGUUGAAAAUUCCUAGAGCAGUAGUCUUCCUCUCACUGCGCGUUUUCUCUUACUUGCCACACAAGGCUCACCUAAUGUUACCCCGGGUUAACCUCCUUCGAAGGUUAAGUUAGUUGGGGUUUCUUUUACAAAGAGUAAUAUUUUUUGGUACUGUUGUAUUUUACCUCCACUUGGCCUAGCUUGUUGCAUUCAUAUAUCCUUCACCUAUCGAUAGGUCUCCACUUUCUUUGUCAUUUCAAGCAAUUAUAACCCAAGCACUAACUGUCUCCACCACUCCUUGUGGAUAGGUCUCCCCUAUCUUAUUUUGCCACUUUUCUUGUUGGGCCAUUCAUGCUAGUUAGGCUUUAAUUAUGGCCCAGGCUGGCCCAACUCUGAAGAUGCAGAGUAUAGUGUCACGGACUUAGUCGUUCACUAAGCUCGUGCGGCACUUAGGCAAGUCAAGACGCUUGAUCUUGCUAAGUCAGCCUUGCUCCCCAAUGAUUAGCUUGCUAGGCUAAGACAUUCGCGACUCAAAAGCUUAAGAAGCUUAGUAGGCAACUCUUUAAAGAAUGGAAGCUCUUAUUAACUCAAUGAAGCCUUUACAAGUGCUUGAAAGCUCACUUGCUUAGUGCCUUGGCCAAAUGGGGCCCUCACCUAUUUAUAGGCACCAAUGGAACUCUCUGGAACCUUGGAGGGUUCCUUACAACUCAAGUAUAUUCUAAAAUGUCCUACAUCAUUCUAGGUAUAAACUAGUGACAAUAGUCUUAGAUAGGCCUGUUACUUCUAUUUAUGGGGAUACCCACAUAGAUGAUUAUAAAUAUAUAUAUAUAUAUCUAUUUAAAAAGGGACAAUCUUAUAUUAUUAUAAUAUAUUGCAAUUUUAUUAUCCAUUAUCAUAGUAUAUUAUUAUUUAGUAUUUAUUAACAUAUAUUAUAUUUGAUAUAUUUAUUUAUAAAUAUUAUUUAUUGAUGAAUAUCAAAUUUUGAACUAAAUUAUUGAUAUGUUAUGGAGAUAGCAAAUUUUUAUAGAAAAUACUUGGAGCCACCACUUAUUUUUGUUUUAUUUUUUAUAUACAAAUAAUUUUUAAAAAAAUAACUUUAUUUGCAAAAGAAUUUUUAAUUAAAAAAAAAGACUUAUAUAGCUUUAUUUACAAAAAUGUUAAAAUUCAAUCCAAUUUUAUUUAAAAAAAAUGAUUUCUACAACUUUAAUUUACAAAAAUAACUCUCAUCCUAUUCUCAUUAAAAAUAUAUAUAUUUAAAUCCUUUAUUUCUAAAAUUUACUUUUAAUCACAUUUUAUUUAAGGAAAAAUAAUUUAUUUAAAAAAACAAUUUUUGCACAAUUUUAUAAAAAUUUAAUCUUUGGGAGAACUUUAUUUACAAAACGAUUUUCAAACAAUCAUUAUUAAAAACAUUUUUUUUGGUAUAAAAAUUUUAUUAAAAACAAUUUUCUAGAUUUUCCUAAAAACACUUUUCUAAAUUUUUAUUAAGAAAACUUACUUUUAUUAAAAAGAAUAUUUUUUGAACUAUUAUUUUAUUAAAAUCUGUUCAUUGAAUUGUUUCUCUUAUUUGAACAAAAUUUCUAAUUUGUUCGAUAUUCAAUUCUGUACACAAUGAGUAAAUAUAUAUAAAUUAAUAUUUACAGAAACCAAUAAAAAUAAAUCAAAUAUUAGUGAGAAAUAAAAUGUGUAGCCCAAUAAGCUUAUAACAAGUUCAAUGCUUCAUUUAUAGCUUUUCAAGUCUCAUUUUUUUUUCAUGAAAUUUCAUUCUCCAUGUGUCAUAAAUUCAUAAUCAGCCAACAGAAUUGCAGAAUGGGUUUAUGCAAAAACAAAAAUAGUUCAAAUGUAAAUAUCUAGAAAUGUACAAAAUUCAAAGUAAAUAUUCAAGCACAAAUUCAAACUUCAAAUUAGUCCAAUAAAUUUUAUUAAUUAAAAAUGGGUCUAAAUUAGUAAAUUUAACCCAACAAAAAUAUCUCACAUGCCAUAAGCCAUAGUCCAAAAUUUUUGAAUUAAUAACCAAAAAUACAAGCACAAUCAUAAGCCCAAAAUAUGAUAAAUUAAAAUAACUUUCUCUAGGCCUAAAUUUACUAUCCCCAAAUUCAAGUUCAAUUUAAUAUACAAACCCAAAUUUACAACCAAAAUCAAGCACAAUUUAAUAUGAAAACCCACAUCCAAAGUAUACCAUAAUUGUCUCAUGCCAAAUUAAAUAAUUAAAAUGAGCAUAAAUUAUCAACUAAUCUAGCCCAAAUUAGCAAAUUCCAAAUUAAUUCACUAACAAUAAAUUAGCCCAAAUUUCAUAUUAAUUCACCAAAGUUCAAAAUAUAACAAAUCAAAAUAAAUACAAUUGGGCCUAAAUUUAAUAUUUCAUACUUCAAGCCUAAUUUAAUACACAAACACAAAUCCACAACUAAAAUCAAACCAAAUUUAAUAUAUAGAGCCCACAUGUAAUAAAAAGAAAAUCAAUCAAUUUAAUUAAGUCUAAAUAUGUCAAAACAAAAUAAAUCCAAUUAUCACUAAAUCCAAAUAAAACAUAACUUAAUGAACCCGGAUUAGAGACCCAAAUCAAAAUACAAGGUUUGAAAUAUACCCAACCUAUCCAAACUUAACCCAAAGCUUACAAACAAUAUCUCAAUCAAGUAAAUGUAAGCCCAAACAAACAAUCUCAAUAAUCAAUAAUAAAUUACUAUAAAAAAUAAAUAGAAAUAAUAAUAAAAAUAAAAUAAGAAAUAAACUUACCUAAAUUGGAAGAAAAUGGUGAUAUGUGAGAUGGGUGGAAGGGGGAUCGCUGGAGUGGCGUUGUCGCCUGGUGGACAAUGCUAUAGGUGACAACGAGCUUUGAUGGGUUUAUGGGUGAGGCAAGAAAUGGGUAUGAAGGAAAGAGGAAAGGAAGAAAAAAUGAAAGAAAAGAAAGGGAAAUUGGAGAGGCCAUGUGGGUAUGAGGUGUGGUGUGGCAAUGUGAGGGAAAGGAGGAACUAGAGAUGGAAAACAAAUUGGGGGGGGGCACCUCAUACCCACAUGGCCUCUCCAAUUUCCCUUUCUUUUCUUUCAUUUUUUCUUCCUUUCCUCUUUCCUUCAUACCCAUUUCUUGCCUCACCCAUAAACCCAUCAAAGCUCGUUGUCACCUAUAGCAUUGUCCACCAGGCGACAACGCCACUCUAGCGAUCCCCCUUCCACCCAUCUCACAUAUCACCAUUUUCUUCCAAUUAAGGUAAGNNNNNNNNNNNNNNNNNNNNNNNNNNNNNNNNNNNNNNNNNNNNNNNNNNNNNNNNNNNNNNNNNNNNNNNNNNNNNNNNNNNNNNNNNNNNNNNNNNNNGCAUGAAAGCAGACCCAGUUGCGUACCCCAACCAUGUCACUUUUCGUUUCGUGUUCAAGCGCUAUGCAGCGGCGCAUCUAGUUGAAGAAGCGAUGAAUGCUUAUUAUAGAACUGAGGAGUUUAAUCUGAGGGAUGAAACUUCGUAUUCGAAUUGAUUGACGCGCUUUGUGAGUAUAAGCAUGUAAUAGAAGCUGAAGAAUUGUUCCUAAAAGAGAGCAAAGACUUGGUUUUUAACGAUGAUGUGAAAAUUUAUAACAUUAUUCUUCGUGGGUGGUUCAAAAUGGGGUGGUGGAAGAAGUGUAGGGAGUUUUGGGAAGAGAUGGAUAGGAGAGGUGUUUGUAAAAGUCUAUAUUCUUAUUCGAUAUAUAUGGAUAUACAGUGCAAGAGUGGGAAGCCAUGGAGGGCCGUGAAAUUGUAUAAGGAGAUGAAGAAGAAGGGAAUUAGGCUGGAUGUUGUGGCGUAUAACACGGUCAUUCGUGCCAUUGGUCUUUCCGAGGGUGUCGAUUUUUCAAUUCGGGUAUUUCGCGAGAUGAAAGAGGUGGGUUGUGAGCCCAAUGUUGUGACUUACAAUACAAUUAUCAAGCUGUUGUGUGAAAAUGGGAGAAUUAGAGAAGCCUAUGGGGUUUGGGGGGGGGGGGGGAAGAAAGAGAAGUGGGUAGCUUAAAGAAGAAAAAAAUAAAAUAAAAUAGAAUAAAUGGGGGUAAAAGGAGAUAGGGGUUAGUGGUCUUGGGAAUGAGGUGGUAUUGGAGAAGAGAGAAAAAUGGAGAGUAGGUAGAGUAGGUGAGGUAAAAAGGAAAAGGAGAAAAAAUAAAAUAAAAAAGUAAAAUAAUAAAAAAUAAAAAUAAAAUAAUAAAAAUUAAGAUUUUAACAGUAUAAAUGGGCCAAAAAAAAAAAAAAUCAAAUGUAAUCGAGUUUGAAAUCUAAAGAUAAAAUUAAGCUCAAAAUCAAUGUAAAAAUAAAAUUGAGACAAAUUUUAAGGUCUAUAAAUAUGCCCCUCUUCGGUAGAGUCUACGAGUAAAGUAAGUGUACACACAAAUAAAACGAAGUGGGCUCUACUGAAAAACAAGAAAGCCUACCAAAAUUUGUCCCAGUAUGACACGGGCUCUCUCAAUUACAAACACAAAUACACAACUAAAAUCAAACCAAAUUUAAUAUGUAGAGCCCACAUGUAAUAAAAAAAAACCAAUAAAUUUAAUUAAGUCCAAAUAUGUCAAAACAAAAUAAAUCCAAUUAUCACUAAAUCCAAAUAAAACAUAAAUUAACCAACCCGGAUUAGAGACCCAAAUCAAAAUACAAGGUUUAAAAUAUACUCAACCUAUCCAAACUUAACCCAAAGCUUACAAACAAUAUCCCAAUAAAGUAAAUGUAAGCCCAAACAAACAAUCUCAAUAAUCAAUAAUAAAUUACUGUAAAAAUUAAAUAGAAAUAAUAAUAAAAAUAAAAUAAGAAAUAAACUUACCUAAAUUGGUAGAAAAUGGUGAAAUAUGAGAUGACUGGAAGGGGGAUUGCCGGAGUGGCAUCGUCGACUAGUAGUGGCAUCAUCAACUAGUGGACGAUGCUAUAGGUAGUGACGAGCUUUGAUGAGUUUAUGGGUGAGGUAAGAAAUGGGUAUGAGGGGAAGAGGAAAGGA